rnacentral:lncRNA from 1 species
UUCCGCUGAGAAUAAAUUUAAGUAAAAAACAUGCACACACAGAUAAUAAUAAUAAUCAUGUUUCCAUAAAAUUGCUAAGUCCAGAGAUAAUACAUAAACAUAGUAGACUGUUCAUGACACAUAUCACGGUGGACAGUGUUUGUGUCCUUAUUACAAGCAACGAGAGAUGCUCGUCACCAACACGCGCGCGCACAGAUGCACGACAUACAUAUAGUAGAGACCAACAGAUGGUCGUCCCAUAUGGUGAACAAUUUAUUGGGGAUAAAUAUUAACGUAACUUGGCCAUAGCUUGAAGCAUAGCAACAUAUGCCUAUGAGUGGCAUUCAUGCUAUCGUUUUAGGCUUGUCCAGCUCCUUCCAUCUUAGCAAGCACUUCCAUUUCUACCAUCUUAGCAGCAACUGUCAAAUUGAGAUACGGAAAUCCCAUUAGCGCAUGAGUUAAUUUUGCAGUGGAAAUAGAGUACAAGAUGUCUUCAUGAUGUAAGUAAUAUGCCUGAAGUUGUGAGAUGGGAAGUGAAGUCAACAAAUUACAUUAACGGAAAUGCAUGGAAGGCCACACAUACGUAUUAGUCCAUGAUAUGCUACAAAGCUUGUAUGUACAUAUAGCAAAUUAAAUGCAUUAAUUGAAUAGAGUGUGUUUAGUGAAUUUACCAGAAUCGUCCAGAAAACAUGGGAAACAGCAAGUGUUCUUGCAGACUGCGUCGGAGGCACCCGCACGAAUACAAAGCUGACAACAUAGUUUUGCCUGGGCGGAUGCGCAGCAGCCGCACUCCGCCGCGGUGGGGUUAACAUUGAGGCUCAAGAUGACCAGGCACAUGAUCACCAUCAAAGUGGUAGUCCUCUUUCCCUCCAUUGCCUCCUCUUAGCUUGCUGCUACCUUCCUUGGUUACCUAGCUAAGUUUAUUGGUUUUGUGUUGAGAGGUGUGAUUUUUGAAUGGACGUUGCCGGCGGCAAUUUAUAGGCAGCUGAGCUAUGUGAUGAUAUGGACUAGGUGCAAAUGGGUGGUUAAUGGCAAGGAAAGGGGCGUCAGACAAAGCCCAAUGGCAACUGCUGACAUGCGAUUAAAUUCAGAUCCACAUCCGGCCAUUCAAUAAUACGGUUGGAGUUGUGGCACAGAUAUAUUAUUGCAUGAUCAUCAAGAUAAGAUCGUACAGUGACUGAGUGAGACAAUAAAUAGCCAAGUAAACUAUUUUAUCCUGCUGCAAGCUGCAUUCAUAAGUUUAUUUCACCUUUGAUCACAAUACUCUUCACACACGUACGUCUCAGGGAGAUCUCACUUCCGCUGGACUGCUCACUUCCGCUGUCGUCGGUACUGCCAAAGACAUAAGCUCACAUCUGCUAUUGCGGAGCAGGCCAAUUUGCUGCGGAACUUCGGCGACGACCUGAAGGACAUGAACUCGGUGCUGGAGUCCAUCUCAGCAGCGCUCUAGGACGCUGACACCGGUAGAAAAACGACCUUCCAUCGUCAACAAAAAUCCCGGUAGCUUUUUUACUCGGUACUAAAGAGGUUUUAAUCUCGUGCAAACACCUUUAGUCCAGAUUGCUAUUACCACGCAACCCGGACUAAAGCGUCCCCCGCGAGUUAGUAUAUAAGGAUUGCAUCCUUUACUCAGUCAGAUAUAAUAUGUAGGUGAGAUGGUAAGGAAGCUAUGCGUGAGGCUUCAGGUUGUGGGUUCGAAUCCAAGUGGGUGCAGCUGUGGCUUAAGCGGCUGAGGCACGCCGCCAUAGACAUCUCAGAUUUGCUCGAAGACUACCAAGACACUAGUGAACCCUUAACAGUAAAGGUGAGUACUUAUGAAUGUCAGCAUCCAUGUUGUCCAUGCUUCCAAUGUAAUAACAAGAUGGACUACUCUUCCUAGCGGACUCUUCACAACCACUCGUAAAGCUAUGCGUUUCUCAAUGCAAUUUCGUAGAAGCCAAUCGAUCCAACCAAGUGACUAAAUCAUUCGUCCUUUCCAAUGAUGUGCAUCAGGUUUUCUAUAUGAAGGGCAUGUCUAGCAAACCUAAGAUUUCAGAAGAAAAAGAAAAAUCAUUGGAGCCAAAGAGCCACAUAGUUCUUCUAGGAAAAAAAUCAUGGGAGUCGAGAACAUAUCAAACCAAUCAGGGGAUUAUGGUCAGCUUAAUGGCAUGCCUCCAUUCGAUGUCGAAGUUCACCCAAGCAUCAUGUUAGCCAAACAUCAAAUGUUCGUGCGUUGUUACGGUAAAGAUCAAUUGUGUUUUUUAAACUCUUGGAAUUUUUUUAUCUAAGUUUUUAUUUACACUUAUUGGAUGUCUACACAUUUGCUAGAAAACUAAAAUAAUUUGGACUUAAUUAUUUCUUUCAACUGAAGUACUCACUAAAUUUCUACCUUUUUAUUUAAGCAAGAGAGUUGCUAAAAAAAAUGGAUACGUAACCAUGUUGUAUCAUACAAAGUAACCACGUUUCACAUAUAGUCCGGCUUAGCAAACACCAUUGUUUUCUGAACAUAGCGUACAUGAGUUAACAGACAUGGAUUUAUUUCUAUUGCAAGUAGCAUAGCGUACAACCUGCCUGCACCGAUGCAGCUCAAUAUGCGAUAAUUUUUAUCUUCCCAUGUAAUUUUUCUACUCUAGUACAUAUUGAACUCCACAUUAAUGUCAUGUUCUUUCGCGCCCCAGAAGGUUCCUAAAGUUUGGAAACUUAAUAGAUAGCCAGAAUUUUUUUUAAAGAUAUUUAUAUGGAUACUUGUAUGUUCUUUCCAAACUAACAAUAUUGUUUACCAAUAUCAGAAGGAAUAUGGUUAGGAGCCAUUGCCGCAUAUGGCAGGUGAUGGUAGAUGGCGUAUGGGGUUUCGUUAAUUUAAUGGUAUAAUAAGCUGAAAUACAUUUUCUAUUUGCAAAUGAAUCAUAGCUGAAAUUGGUGGGAUUGUUUUUUCGCCGGUUUAGCAUCCUGUGCACCAGUUCAACCGGAGGGAAGCUGUUUUUUUUCUUUGGUUUUCCACCGGUUCACCGAGACCGAUGACAAUUUUAUGGCAGAAUCAUUACUUGUUUUACUAUUAGGUGAAGAUUUUAGCGUUUAGGUAUCUCACAUUAAACGCAACUUCAACAAUCUAUUUCUAGUGUAUAAUGUAGGAGACCCCGUAAAGAGUCUACACACACAUAUAUGUUGACUAUGAAUGUAAGUUUGUUGGUUUUAUGUAUGUUCGUUUGGAGUUUAUAUAAAUUUUACAUUUUAUAGUUUUGUGUAUAUGACGAAGAUCCAUGACUUGCAUUAAUUUAGCCUUUCUUCCAACAACUCUUAUGCAUGCUGUUUCUAGGCGAGCGUACUGGUUGCAAUUUUGGUCCCCGAUAUAGUGUGAGGACUUAAGGGACACGUGCAGGUCGUAACCUUAGAUAUUUUUGCUGAGAAUGGAUGAAGAAGCAAUAAUAUACUUUGCUUCUGAUUUUCUCCAUGUCAUUUGCUUACUCUUAUCCCUUUUAUUUAUCAUUAUAAGAUGAAAAUAUUGUAAAAACUUGGCUACGUGCGGUCGCAGAAGCUAGAGACUAAAGCGUCCCCCACGAGUUACUAUAUAAAAGGAUUGCAUCCUCUACUCAGUCAUAUGUACUGUGUAGGUGAGAUGGUAAGGAAGCUAUGUGUGAGGCUUGAGGUUGUAGGUUCGAAUCCCACGCACCGCGUGCGCAUGCGCAUAUUUUGCGUGAAAAAUCGCAUGACUUGUGGUCGGCCAAGGAGAAGUGCGUGCGGCUGAGGCACGCCGCCAUAGACAUCUCGGAUUUGCUCCAAGACUACCAAGACACUAGCGAACCCUUAACGGCAAAGUUGAGUACUUACGCGUGUUAGCAUCUAUGUUGUCCAUGCUUCCAAUGCAAUAACAAGAAGGGCUACUCAUCCUAGCGGAUUCUUCACAACCACUCGUAAAGCUAUGCGUUUCUCAAUGCAAUUUCGUAGAUGUCAAUCGAUCCAACCAAGCGACUGAAUCAUUCGUCCUUGCUAAUGAUGUGCAUCAGGUUUUCUAUAUGAAGAACAUGUCUAGCAAAUCCAAGAUUUCAGAAGAAAAAUAAAAAUCAUGAGAACCAAAGCACCACGUAGUUCUUCCAGGUAAAAAAAACAAUCAUCCACUGGGAUGACACACAGUAGCGAUCCAAAACGUCCAUAUUAAGACUUUUUGAUAGCAGAAAAAACAUGAAAAUGUCUAAUAUUUGUAGUAUUAAAAGGAAAAAUAAUAUAUUCACUUGACCUUUUUUUCGUAGCAACGCACCGGUGCGUAGUCAGACUUAGGCCACGUUUGGAUACUCCCUACUAAAGUUUAGCACCUGUCACAUAGGAUGUUUGGAUACUAAUUAGGAGUAUUAAACAUAGGCUAAUUAUAAAACUAAUUGAAUAGAUGGAGUCUAAUUUGCGAGACGAAUCUAUUAAGCCUAACUAGUCCAUGAUUUGACAAUGUGGUGCUACAGUAACCAUUUGCUAAUGGUGGAUUAAUUAGGCUUAAUAGAUUCGUCUCGCGAAUUAACAUAGGGUUCUGCAAUUAAUUUUAUAAUUAGCUCAUGUCUAGUCCUUCUAAUUAGCAUCCGAACAUCUGAUAUGAUACUGCUAAAGUUUAUCACCUAGUAUCCAAAUACCCCCUUAAUGCACGAUGCCUGUGCAUCCACUGGGCCUACCCUCGUGGAUCACGCGCUCGUGGAUCACGCGCACCAUGACAUGGCUCAUUAGCUAGUCGUGCUAAUCCUUACCACCAAAUUAAAAACUAGCAUGUGUUGUGUGUUUGUGACCCUAAACGACUACCACCUUCCCGAGUCCACCGGAGUUGCCAGUUCACCACUAAGCUGACUCUCCGAGCUUCAUGUCACUGUCACCGCUCCAAAGACCUAGAUCGGUUCGCUGUGCACCCCGCUUCGUCCUGAGCUAAAUCCCAUCACGAAAGGUGACCGGAUGCUCGUUUUCGAGCGAAUUCUAGCGAGAUUGCCACCACCUUUCCCCUUCCAGCCGAUCGCAGCUGUCUGAUCACAAACCGACAGCCCAGAUCGGAUUUGACCAGGUCAAUACCGGUCAAGCCGAGAUGCAUGCUGCUUUUGCAAGAAGGCCCCUAUUUUUCUCUCGUUUUGCACUUGAGGUCCUACGCAGUUCAAAAGUAAUUAGAUCUAGAUCCUUUUUCUUCUGUUUUAGCCCUGUUCUUUUAUAAAAUCCCACCCGCCAUCCUGUUUGGUAUUUUGACAUGUUAGACCUUCUAUUUAUAUGUUUAAUUAGGUUUUAGCCCUUGGUUUCUUUAAGUUUAGCUCUUGGAAGUUUAGUUUUCUCGCAGUUAAGCCCCUGAACCUUGUUUAGUUCAUAUCUUUAGCGUUUUAAAUCCGUUUUAAGAGAUUCUUACGCCCAUAAGUUCGUGUUGAUGCAUAGAUUAGUUGACUUAUACGGACCUUGCUGAUUCAGCUCCUUCAUUGUGCUUCAGAUCUCGCUAGUGAAGAAUAAUGGAUGGGCUUUGGUUGAGCUUGUAGAUCGACCUGCAGUUGCAGUGAAUGUGCUGAGGACUGGCGGUACCAAUAAUGGGAGGCCGCUGCUCUGCUUGCUACCAAGGCCUGCGACGCUUGGACGCCAUUCAGAGUGCAUAAUUUCCAAGGAUCUCAAGGGCUCCACACCACGUUCCAAGUGUUUUUUCUUUGCCGAGUGUUUUUAGCUCGGCACUUGGCAAAGAGCUUGUUUGCCGAGUGUCCGAAAAAAACACUUGGCAAAGAGAAAACACUCGGCAAAUUUGAUGUUUCCCGUAGUGAUGUACUAUUCAAACUUGAACUGGGAUGCAGGCUUCAGUACCAAAGAGAGCUCUGGGCGCGGGUGAGCAGUGAGCUGGCCGGGCAGGGAGCUCCAAAGCGACAGCAACAAAGAGAGAAAUGCUAAGAGUAAGAACGACACACGAGGUCACUUCACAUAGAUAAUAGCAGUACGAACCAUACAAUAUCCUCUCUCAGUUUCACUCCGCCUCACACACGGCUAGCACACCAUGCAUGCCGAUUUCAUAUUAUUAAUAUUAUUUUUUGGAUGGUUGUUGAAACUAUAUAUAUAGUUAGUCCAAUCUCACGUUUCCGAUUAUAAAAAUCAACGUAAAGAGAUCGGUAGGGAGAGCCGGCAUAAUGAAGCCGACGCGUGUAAUAAGCACCAGAGCCGGCAUUUAUACAAACUGGUACGAAUAGUAAAAAACUAGAAUUUAUAAAUAAAAAAAUGAUUUGCACAUCUAUGCAAUAAUUAGGGGUUAGUGGCAGGUCUAGAGAGAUAUCUCAUCAUUAUAUCCGGUUUAACGAGGAUAAAAAAGAGUGUAUUUUCCACUCAUCAUGUUGUCUUUUCGCAGCGGUACCACUUUUCGUGUGUUGUAUCGGUCCCCUAAUACGGAGUCUCCGAGGCCCGAGAAAAUAAGGAAAGUGAUAGUAGCCCAGAAAUCGGCCAAGUUUCUUUCCCCUUUGGCUUUCCUACUAGGAUUCAGAAUCCUCUUUCGCAUGACAAUCUUAAUUAUCUCCCAUACUCCAAAACUCACAAAAACAUCAAGAGUCCGCUGAGAAUAAAUUUAAGUAAAAAACAUGCACACACAGAUAAUAAUAAUAAUCAUGUUUCCAUAAAAUUGCUAAGUCCAGAGAUAAUACAUAAACAUAGUAGACUGUUCAUGACACAUAUCACGGUGGACAGUGUUUGUGUCCUUAUUACAAGCAACGAGAGAUGCUCGUCACCAACACGCGCGCGCACAGAUGCACGACAUACAUAUAGUAGAGACCAACAGAUGGUCGUCCCAUAUGGUGAACAAUUUAUUGGAGAUAAAUAUUAACGUAACUUGGCCAUAGCUUGAAGCAUAGCAACAUAUGCCUAUGAGUGGCAUUCAUGCUAUCGUUUUAGGCUUGUCCAGCUCCUUCCAUCUUAGCAAGCACUUCCAUUUCUACCAUCUUAGCAGCAACUGUCAAAUUGAGAUACGGAAAUCCCAUUAGCGCAUGAGUUAAUUUUGCAGUGGAAAUAGAGUACAAGAUGUCUUCAUGAUGUAAGUAAUAUGCCUGAAGUUGUGAGAUGGGAAGUGAAGUCAACAAAUUACAUUAACGGAAAUGCAUGGAAGGCCACACAUACGUAUUAGUCCAUGAUAUGCUACAAAGCUUGUAUGUACAUAUAGCAAAUUAAAUGCAUUAAUUGAAUAGAGUGUGUUUAGUGAAUUUACCAGAAUCGUCCAGAAAACAUGGGAAACAGCAAGUGUUCUUGCAGACUGCGUCGGAGGCACCCGCACGAAUACAAAGCUGACAACAUAGUUUUGCCUGGGCGGAUGCGCAGCAGCCGCACUCCGCCGCGGUGGGGUUAACAUUGAGGCUCAAGAUGACCAGGCACAUGAUCACCAUCAAAGUGGUAGUCCUCUUUCCCUCCAUUGCCUCCUCUUAGCUUGCUGCUACCUUCCUUGGUUACCUAGCUAAGUUUAUUGGUUUUGUGUUGAGAGGUGUGAUUCUUGAAUGGACGUUGCCGGCGGCAAUUUAUAGGCAGCUGAGCUAUGUGAUGAUAUGGACUAGGUGCAAAUGGGUGGUUAAUGGCAAGGAAAGGGGCGUCAGACAAAGCCCAAUGGCAACUGCUGACAUGCGAUUAAAUUCAGAUCCACAUCCGGCCAUUCAAUAAUACGGUUGGAGUUGUGGCACAGAUAUAUUAUUGCAUGAUCAUCAAGAUAAGAUCGUACAGUGACUGAGUGAGACAAUAAAUAGCCAAGUAAACUAUUUUAUCCUGCUGCAAGCUGCAUUCAUAAGUUUAUUUCACCUUUGAUCACAAUACUCUUCACACACGUACGUCUCAGGGAGAUCUCACUUCCGCUGGACUGCUCACUUCCGCUGUCGUCGGUACUGCCAAAGACAUAAGCUCACAUCUGCUAUUGCGGAGCAGGCCAAUUUGCUGCGGAACUUCGGCGACGACCUGAAGGACAUGAACUCGGUGCUGGAGUCCAUCUCAGCAGCGCUCUAGGACGCUGACACCGGUAGAAAAACGACCUUCCAUCGUCAACAAAAAUCCCGGUAGCUUUUUUACUCGGUACUAAAGAGGUUUUAAUCUCGUGCAAACACCUUUAGUCCAGAUUGCUAUUACCACGCAACCCGGACUAAAGCGUCCCCCGCGAGUUAGUAUAUAAGGAUUGCAUCCUUUACUCAGUCAGAUAUAAUAUGUAGGUGAGAUGGUAAGGAAGCUAUGCGUGAGGCUUCAGGUUGUGGGUUCGAAUCCAAGUGGGUGCAGCUGUGGCUUAAGCGGCUGAGGCACGCCGCCAUAGACAUCUCAGAUUUGCUCGAAGACUACCAAGACACUAGUGAACCCUUAACAGUAAAGGUGAGUACUUAUGAAUGUCAGCAUCCAUGUUGUCCAUGCUUCCAAUGUAAUAACAAGAUGGACUACUCUUCCUAGCGGACUCUUCACAACCACUCGUAAAGCUAUGCGUUUCUCAAUGCAAUUUCGUAGAAGCCAAUCGAUCCAACCAAGUGACUAAAUCAUUCGUCCUUUCCAAUGAUGUGCAUCAGGUUUUCUAUAUGAAGGGCAUGUCUAGCAAACCUAAGAUUUCAGAAGAAAAAGAAAAAUCAUUGGAGCCAAAGAGCCACAUAGUUCUUCUAGGAAAAAAAUCAUGGGAGUCGAGAACAUAUCAAACCAAUCAGGGGAUUAUGGUCAGCUUAAUGGCAUGCCUCCAUUCGAUGUCGAAGUUCACCCAAGCAUCAUGUUAGCCAAACAUCAAAUGUUCGUGCGUUGUUACGGUAAAGAUCAAUUGUGUUUUUUAAACUCUUGGAAUUUUUUUAUCUAAGUUUUUAUUUACACUUAUUGGAUGUCUACACAUUUGCUAGAAAACUAAAAUAAUUUGGACUUAAUUAUUUCUUUCAACUGAAGUACUCACUAAAUUUCUACCUUUUUAUUUAAGCAAGAGAGUUGCUAAAAAAAAUGGAUACGUAACCAUGUUGUAUCAUACAAAGUAACCACGUUUCACAUAUAGUCCGGCUUAGCAAACACCAUUGUUUUCUGAACAUAGCGUACAUGAGUUAACAGACAUGGAUUUAUUUCUAUUGCAAGUAGCAUAGCGUACAACCUGCCUGCACCGAUGCAGCUCAAUAUGCGAUAAUUUUUAUCUUCCCAUGUAAUUUUUCUACUCUAGUACAUAUUGAACUCCACAUUAAUGUCAUGUUCUUUCGCGCCCCAGAAGGUUCCUAAAGUUUGGAAACUUAAUAGAUAGCCAGAAUUUUUUUUAAAGAUAUUUAUAUGGAUACUUGUAUGUUCUUUCCAAACUAACAAUAUUGUUUACCAAUAUCAGAAGGAAUAUGGUUAGGAGCCAUUGCCGCAUAUGGCAGGUGAUGGUAGAUGGCGUAUGGGGUUUCGUUAAUUUAAUGGUAUAAUAAGCUGAAAUACAUUUUCUAUUUGCAAAUGAAUCAUAGCUGAAAUUGGUGGGAUUGUUUUUUCGCCGGUUUAGCAUCCUGUGCACCAGUUCAACCGGAGGGAAGCUGUUUUUUUUCUUUGGUUUUCCACCGGUUCACCGAGACCGAUGACAAUUUUAUGGCAGAAUCAUUACUUGUUUUACUAUUAGGUGAAGAUUUUAGCGUUUAGGUAUCUCACAUUAAACGCAACUUCAACAAUCUAUUUCUAGUGUAUAAUGUAGGAGACCCCGUAAAGAGUCUACACACACAUAUAUGUUGACUAUGAAUGUAAGUUUGUUGGUUUUAUGUAUGUUCGUUUGGAGUUUAUAUAAAUUUUACAUUUUAUAGUUUUGUGUAUAUGACGAAGAUCCAUGACUUGCAUUAAUUUAGCCUUUCUUCCAACAACUCUUAUGCAUGAUGUUUCUAGGCGAGCGUACUGGUUGCAAUUUUGGUCCCCGAUAUAGUGUGAGGACUUAAGGGACACGUGCAGGUCGUAACCUUAGAUAUUUUUGCUGAGAAUGGAUGAAGAAGCAAUAAUAUACUUUGCUUCUGAUUUUCUCCAUGUCAUUUGCUUACUCUUAUCCCUUUUAUUUAUCAUUAUAAGAUGAAAAUAUUGUAAAAACUUGGCUACGUGCGGUCGCAGAAGCUAGAGACUAAAGCGUCCCCCACGAGUUACUAUAUAAAAGGAUUGCAUCCUCUACUCAGUCAUAUGUACUGUGUAGGUGAGAUGGUAAGGAAGCUAUGUGUGAGGCUUGAGGUUGUAGGUUCGAAUCCCACGCACCGCGUGCGCAUGCGCAUAUUUUGCGUGAAAAAUCGCAUGACUUGUGGUCGGCCAAGGAGAAGUGCGUGCGGCUGAGGCACGCCGCCAUAGACAUCUCGGAUUUGCUCCAAGACUACCAAGACACUAGCGAACCCUUAACGGCAAAGUUGAGUACUUACGCGUGUUAGCAUCUAUGUUGUCCAUGCUUCCAAUGCAAUAACAAGAAGGGCUACUCAUCCUAGCGGAUUCUUCACAACCACUCGUAAAGCUAUGCGUUUCUCAAUGCAAUUUCGUAGAUGUCAAUCGAUCCAACCAAGCGACUGAAUCAUUCGUCCUUGCUAAUGAUGUGCAUCAGGUUUUCUAUAUGAAGAACAUGUCUAGCAAAUCCAAGAUUUCAGAAGAAAAAUAAAAAUCAUGAGAACCAAAGCACCACGUAGUUCUUCCAGGUAAAAAAAACAAUCAUCCACUGGGAUGACACACAGUAGCGAUCCAAAACGUCCAUAUUAAGACUUUUUGAUAGCAGAAAAAACAUGAAAAUGUCUAAUAUUUGUAGUAUUAAAAGGAAAAAUAAUAUAUUCACUUGACCUUUUUUUCGUAGCAACGCACCGGUGCGUAGUCAGACUUAGGCCACGUUUGGAUACUCCCUACUAAAGUUUAGCACCUGUCACAUAGGAUGUUUGGAUACUAAUUAGGAGUAUUAAACAUAGGCUAAUUAUAAAACUAAUUGAACAGAUGGAGUCUAAUUUGCGAGACGAAUCUAUUAAGCCUAACUAGUCCAUGAUUUGACAAUGUGGUGCUACAGUAACCAUUUGCUAAUGGUGGAUUAAUUAGGCUUAAUAGAUUCGUCUCGCGAAUUAACAUAGGGUUCUGCAAUUAAUUUUAUAAUUAGCUCAUGUCUAGUCCUUCUAAUUAGCAUCCGAACAUCUGAUAUGAUACUGCUAAAGUUUAUCACCUAGUAUCCAAAUACCCCCUUAAUGCACGAUGCCUGUGCAUCCACUGGGCCUACCCUCGUGGAUCACGCGCUCGUGGAUCACGCGCACCAUGACAUGGCUCAUUAGCUAGUCGUGCUAAUCCUUACCACCAAAUUAAAAACUAGCAUGUGUUGUGUGUUUGUGACCCUAAACGACUACCACCUUCCCGAGUCCACCGGAGUUGCCAGUUCACCACUAAGCUGACUCUCCGAGCUUCAUGUCACUGUCACCGCUCCAAAGACCUAGAUCGGUUCGCUGUGCACCCCGCUUCGUCCUGAGCUAAAUCCCAUCACGAAAGGUGACCGGAUGCUCGUUUUCGAGCGAAUUCUAGCGAGAUUGCCACCACCUUUCCCCUUCCAGCCGAUCGCAGCUGUCUGAUCACAAACCGACAGCCCAGAUCGGAUUUGACCAGGUCAAUACCGGUCAAGCCGAGAUGCAUGCUGCUUUUGCAAGAAGGCCCCUAUUUUUCUCUCUUUUUGCACUUGAGGUCCUACGCAGUUCAAAAGUAAUUAGAUCUAGAUCCUUUUUCUUCUGUUUUAGCCCUGUUCUUUUAUAAAAUCCCACCCGCCAUCCUGUUUGGUAUUUUGACAUGUUAGACCUUCUAUUUAUAUGUUUAAUUAGGUUUUAGCCCUUGGUUUCUUUAAGUUUAGCUCUUGGAAGUUUAGUUUUCUCGCAGUUAAGCCCCUGAACCUUGUUUAGUUCAUAUCUUUAGCGUUUUAAAUCCGUUUUAAGAGAUUCUUACGCCCAUAAGUUCGUGUUGAUGCAUAGAUUAGUUGACUUAUACGGACCUUGCUGAUUCAGCUCCUUCAUUGUGCUUCAGAUCUCGCUAGUGAAGAAUAAUGGAUGGGCUUUGGUUGAGCUUGUAGAUCGACCUGCAGUUGCAGUGAAUGUGCUGAGGACUGGCGGUACCAAUAAUGGGAGGCCGCUGCUCUGCUUGCUACCAAGGCCUGCGACGCUUGGACGCCAUUCAGAGUGCAUAAUUUCCAAGGAUCUCAAGGGCUCCACACCACGUUCCAAGUGUUUUUUCUUUGCCGAGUGUUUUUAGCUCGGCACUUGGCAAAGAGCUUGUUUGCCGAGUGUCCGAAAAAAACACUUGGCAAAGAGAAAACACUCGGCAAAUUUGAUGUUUCCCGUAGUGAUGUACUAUUCAAACUUGAACUGGGAUGCAGGCUUCAGUACCAAAGAGAGCUCUGGGCGCGGGUGAGCAGUGAGCUGGCCGGGCAGGGAGCUCCAAAGCGACAGCAACAAAGAGAGAAAUGCUAAGAGUAAGAACGACACACGAGGUCACUUCACAUAGAUAAUAGCAGUACGAACCAUACAAUAUCCUCUCUCAGUUUCACUCCGCCUCACACACGGCUAGCACACCAUGCAUGCCGAUUUCAUAUUAUUAAUAUUAUUUUUUGGAUGGUUGUUGAAACUAUAUAUAUAGUUAGUCCAAUCUCACGUUUCCGAUUAUAAAAAUCAACGUAAAGAGAUCGGUAGGGAGAGCCGGCAUAAUGAAGCCGACGCGUGUAAUAAGCACCAGAGCCGGCAUUUAUACAAACUGGUACGAAUAGUAAAAAACUAGAAUUUAUAAAUAAAAAAAUGAUUUGCACAUCUAUGCAAUAAUUAGGGGUUAGUGGCAGGUCUAGAGAGAUAUCUCAUCAUUAUAUCCGGUUUAACGAGGAUAAAAAAGAGUGUAUUUUCCACUCAUCAUGUUGUCUUUUCGCAGCGGUACCACUUUUCGUGUGUUGUAUCGGUCCCCUAAUACGGAGUCUCCGAGGCCCGAGAAAAUAAGGAAAGUGAUAGUAGCCCAGAAAUCGGCCAAGUUUCUUUCCCCUUUGGCUUUCCUACUAGGAUUCAGAAUCCUCUUUCGCAUGACAAUCUUAAUUAUCUCCCAUACUCCAAAACUCACAAAAACAUCAAGAGUCCGCUGAGAAUAAAUUUAAGUAAAAAACAUGCACACACAGAUAAUAAUAAUAAUCAUGUUUCCAUAAAAUUGCUAAGUCCAGAGAUAAUACAUAAACAUAGUAGACUGUUCAUGACACAUAUCACGGUGGACAGUGUUUGUGUCCUUAUUACAAGCAACGAGAGAUGCUCGUCACCAACACGCGCGCGCACAGAUGCACGACAUACAUAUAGUAGAGACCAACAGAUGGUCGUCCCAUAUGGUGAACAAUUUAUUGGAGAUAAAUAUUAACGUAACUUGGCCAUAGCUUGAAGCAUAGCAACAUAUGCCUAUGAGUGGCAUUCAUGCUAUCGUUUUAGGCUUGUCCAGCUCCUUCCAUCUUAGCAAGCACUUCCAUUUCUACCAUCUUAGCAGCAACUGUCAAAUUGAGAUACGGAAAUCCCAUUAGCGCAUGAGUUAAUUUUGCAGUGGAAAUAGAGUACAAGAUGUCUUCAUGAUGUAAGUAAUAUGCCUGAAGUUGUGAGAUGGGAAGUGAAGUCAACAAAUUACAUUAACGGAAAUGCAUGGAAGGCCACACAUACGUAUUAGUCCAUGAUAUGCUACAAAGCUUGUAUGUACAUAUAGCAAAUUAAAUGCAUUAAUUGAAUAGAGUGUGUUUAGUGAAUUUACCAGAAUCGUCCAGAAAACAUGGGAAACAGCAAGUGUUCUUGCAGACUGCGUCGGAGGCACCCGCACGAAUACAAAGCUGACAACAUAGUUUUGCCUGGGCGGAUGCGCAGCAGCCGCACUCCGCCGCGGUGGGGUUAACAUUGAGGCUCAAGAUGACCAGGCACAUGAUCACCAUCAAAGUGGUAGUCCUCUUUCCCUCCAUUGCCUCCUCUUAGCUUGCUGCUACCUUCCUUGGUUACCUAGCUAAGUUUAUUGGUUUUGUGUUGAGAGGUGUGAUUCUUGAAUGGACGUUGCCGGCGGCAAUUUAUAGGCAGCUGAGCUAUGUGAUGAUAUGGACUAGGUGCAAAUGGGUGGUUAAUGGCAAGGAAAGGGGCGUCAGACAAAGCCCAAUGGCAACUGCUGACAUGCGAUUAAAUUCAGAUCCACAUCCGGCCAUUCAAUAAUACGGUUGGAGUUGUGGCACAGAUAUAUUAUUGCAUGAUCAUCAAGAUAAGAUCGUACAGUGACUGAGUGAGACAAUAAAUAGCCAAGUAAACUAUUUUAUCCUGCUGCAAGCUGCAUUCAUAAGUUUAUUUCACCUUUGAUCACAAUACUCUUCACACACGUACGUCUCAGGGAGAUCUCACUUCCGCUGGACUGCUCACUUCCGCUGUCGUCGGUACUGCCAAAGACAUAAGCUCACAUCUGCUAUUGCGGAGCAGGCCAAUUUGCUGCGGAACUUCGGCGACGACCUGAAGGACAUGAACUCGGUGCUGGAGUCCAUCUCAGCAGCGCUCUAGGACGCUGACACCGGUAGAAAAACGACCUUCCAUCGUCAACAAAAAUCCCGGUAGCUUUUUUACUCGGUACUAAAGAGGUUUUAAUCUCGUGCAAACACCUUUAGUCCGGAUUGCUGUUACCACGCAACCCGAACUAAAGCGUCCCCCACGAGUUACUAUAUAAGGAUUGCAUCCUUUACUCAGUCAGAUAUAAUGUGUAGGUGAGAUGGUAAGGAAGCUAUACGUGAGGCUUCAGGUUGUGGGUUCGAAUCCAAGGAGAAGUGGGUGCAGCUGUGGCUUAAGCGGCUGAGGCACGCCGCCAUAGACAUCUCAGAUUUGCUCGAAGACUACCAAGACACUAGUGAACCCUUAACAGUAAAGGUGAGUACUUAUGAAUGUCAGCAUCCAUGUUGUCCAUGCUUCCAAUGUAAUAACAAGAUGGACUACUCUUCCUAGCGGACUCUUCACAACCACUCGUAAAGCUAUACGUUUCUCAAUGCAAUUUCGUAGAAGCCAAUCGAUCCAACCAAGUGACUAAAUCAUUCAUCCUUUCCAAUGAUGUGCAUCAGGUUUUCUACAUGAAGGGCAUCUCUAGCAAACCCAAGAUUUCAGAAGAAAAAGAAAAAUCAUUGGAGCCAAAGAGCCACAUAGUUCUUCCAGGAAAAAAAAAUCAUGGGAGUCGAGAACAAAUCAAACCAAUCAGAGGAUUAUGGUCAGCUUAAUGGCAUGCCUCCAUUCGAUGUCGAAGUUCACCCAAGCAUCAUGUUAGCCAAACAUCAAAUGUUCGUGCGUUGUUACGGUAAAGAUCAAUUGUGUUUUUUAAACUCAUGGAAUUUUUUUUCUAAGUUUUUAUUACACUUAUUGGAUGUCUACACAUUUGCUAGAAAACCAAAAUAAUUUGGACUUAAUUAUUUCUUUCAACUGAAGUACUCACUAAAUUUCUACCUUUUUAUUUAAGCAAGAGAGUUGCUAAAAAAAAUGGAUACAUAACCAUGUUGUAUCGUACAAAGCAACCACAUUUCACAUAUAGUCCGGCUUACCAAACACCAUUUUUUACUGAACAUAGCGUACAUGAGUUAAGAGACAUGGAUUUAUUUCUAUUGCAAGUAGCAUAGCGUACAACCUGCCUGCACCGAUGCAGCUCAAUAUGCGAUAAUUUUUAUCUUCCCAUGUAAUUUUUCUACUCUAGUACAUAUUGAACUCCACAUUAAUGUCAUGUUCUUUGGCGCCCCAGACGGUUCCUAAAGUUUGGAAACAAAAUAGAUAGCCAGAAAUUUUUUUAAAAAAUAUUUAUAUGGAUAUUUGUAUGUUCUUUGCAAACUAACAAUAUUGUUUACCAAUAUCAAAAGGAAUAUGGCUAGGAGCCAUUGCCGCAUAUGGCAGGUGAUGGUAGAUGGCGUAUGGGAUUUCGUUAAUUUAAUGGUAUAAUAAGCUGAAAUACAUUUUCUAUUUGCAAAUGAAUCAUAGCUGAAAGUGGUGAGAUUGUUUUUUCGCCGGUUUAGCAUCCUGUGCACCGGUUCAACUGGAGGGAAGCGGUUCACCGAGACGGAUGACAAUUUUACGGCAGAAUCAUUACUUGUUUUAUUAUUAGGUGAAGAUUUUAGCUUUUAGGUAUCUCACAUUAACAAUCUGUUUCUAGUGUAUAAUGUAGGAGACCCGUAAAGAGUCUACACACACAUAUAUAUGUUGACUAUGAAUGUAAGUUUGUUGGUUUUAUGUAUGUUCAUUUGGAGUUUAUAUAAAUUUUACAUUUUAUAGUUUUGUGUAUAUGACGAAGAUCCAUGACUUGCAUUAAUUUAACCUUUCUUCCAACAACUCUUAUGCAUGCUGUUUCUAGGGGAGCGCACUGGUUGCAAUUUUGGUCCCCGAUAUAGCAUGAGGACUUAAGGGAGACGGGCACGUCGUAACCUUAGAUAUUUUUGCAAGAAGCAAAUUAUACUUUGCUUUUGAUUUUCUCCAUGCCAUUUGCUGACUCUUAUCCCUUUUAUUUAUCAUUAUAAGAUGAAAAUAUUGUAAAAACUUGGUUACGUGCGGUCGCAGAAGCUAGAGACUAUUUCUUUUUUUAAAAAUACGCAAGAGGGAGAAACUUGGUAACAGCUAGACAGUGAAGAUCGCAUUUCAUAAGAAAGAUGGUGCACGUUCUUGUUUGGCUGUUAACGAAAUGACUUCGUUUCACCACACCACCAGAGAGCCCCAUUGCACUUGCAGCAAAAGCGUGGAGCCGCUUUCAACCAGCGUGCAAUAAUGCAGUCCCGCGUGUCUUGGUCUUACAGGAUAUUUGGUUCUUUAGUCCGGACUAAAAUUCAUGUCGCAUAGAAUAUUCAGAUGUUAAAUAGGAGGACUAAACAUGAGCUAAUUAUAAAAAUAAUUACACAAAUGGAGGCUAAUUCCCAAGACAAAUCUAUUAAGUCUAAUUAAUCCAUCAUUAGCACAUGUUUACCGUAGCACCGUAUUGUCAAAUCAUGGACUAAUUAGGCUUAAUAAAUUCGUCUCGCAAGUUAGUCUCCAUCUAUACAAUUUGUUUUAUAAUUAGUCAAUGUUUAAUACUCUAUCUAAACAUUCAAUGUGACUGAAAUUUUAGGAGGUCCUAAAGAACCAAACACCCCUUAGUCUCCGCCUGAACUAUAGCAGGUGCUGGCAGCGGUAGCAGGGUCGUCCAUUAUAUCUAUGGAUGGAAAUGAUCUGAUUCGGAUGGAAUCGAAUUCGAAUAGCACUUUUUACCACAUACUAAUCUGAAUUGGAUGUUCUCGAAUGUGAAUGCAAAACGGAUAGUUCAAAUUUGAAUACUUUGCGGAUUUUUGCAUAAUAUUAAUCGAAGAGAAUUUGUUAAAUUUAGCCGAGACAUAAAUUUUUCUAAAUUCAAAUACUUUGCAGAUUUUCGAAUGCAAAUUUUUUCAUACGAUCUCGGUUGAAUACAAACUUUAUAUCAAAGUUGUAUAUUUAGAUUAUAUAUAAAACUUUGUAGUUGACCUCCUUUUCAUUUAAAAUUUUUUAAUAGCUCAAAACAUUAUUCUAAGCUUUCUAAUUUCAAAAUCUUGAAUUUUAAAUUUUUCAAACGACCUCGGAUGCAAACAAGCUCUAUAUCAAAGUGCUUAAUGAGAUAUAAAAUUUUGUAGUUGACAAGUUUUUUAGUUGAAAACAUUUAGUUAUCACAAACAUACAAGUUCUUCAUUUGAUGUCGAGGAUUGGAAGUGUUGAGUUUGAAGAAUAUAUUCUUUGAUUACAAACUUUUCCAUAUGAUCUUGGAUGAAUACGAACUUUAUUUCAAAGUUGCAAAUUUAGAUUAGACCAAAAACAGUAUAGUUUACAAUUUUUUCAUUCAAAAUUAUUUAGUAGCUCAAAAUGUUAUUCUAAACUCUCUAAUUUUGAAAUCUUGAAUUUUAAAAUUUUCAAAUGACCUCGGAUGCAAACAAGCUCUAUAUCGAAGUGGUAGUUCUUAAUGAGAUAUAAAAUUUUGUAGUUCCAUCUGAGAUCAUUUAACAGUCACAAAUAUACAAGUUUUUCAUAUGAUGCUAAGGAUCAGAAAGAUUAAGUUUGAAGGCUGUAUUUUUUUAAUACAAAUUUUUGCAUACGAUCUCGGAUGAAUACAAACUUUAUAUCAAAAUUGUAGAGCUCGAUGAGAAUUUAAACUUUGUAGUUGAUAUAUUUUUCAUUCGAGAAUGUUUAGUGGUCCAAACAUGUAUUAUAAGUUCAGAGAAGAAACACACAAUCGGCCACGUCAUCAAUUGACAACUUCCAAACUGAGCAUUCCUAUUGGUUCACACCUUUCCCUUUCAACUCGUCAAGCUUAUCUCCUCCCACUCCUCCAUCGUUCACUCCCCCUUCCCCUUCCUCUCUCCCUCCCUCCCUCCGCUCCAGCAGUGGCAGCCCGACCUGCCUCCUAGGACGGUGGUGUGCGGGGCUCGGGCAUCCCUGGCCUCUAGUGGCGUGGCAGGGCGGCCUCCAGCAGCGAUGGCGGAACUCGGCCUCCGGUGGCGCACAGGCAGCGCAGCCUACCUGGUCAAAGGCGGCGCAACAGGGCGACCUCCCCAGCCUCCGGCGGCGCGCAGGGCAUCCAUGACCUCCCCGGCCUCCCUUGCCAGAGGUGGUGCGCGGGGCUGCGCCGACCUCCCCAACCAGAGGUGGCAAGGCCCCAGCUUACGGCGGCGCGUGGCUCCCCAGCUAGGGUGUGGUGGGGCGGCGGCAAGUCAGGCGUGGCCGCGUGGGGGUGGGGGGAGGGGGUUGGGCUGGGCGGAUUCAGAUAGUAUCCAUUUAACCAUCCGAAAUGUGGAUAUCCGUUUAACAAUCCGUUUAGCAAAACCGAAUUUGGAUACUUCCACUUAAGUAUCCAACUAGGAUUCGAAUGCGGAUGGUCCUACCAUAUUGUUAUUUCAGCGGAUACGAAUAUGGGAUAAUUCGAAUAACGACUUACCCAUCCCUGAUUAUAUCCGUGUAAAUAAAUAAUUGCGGCAGCAGGUUCCCGUCGCCACGCCCCCGUCAAACCAAACAAUUGCUUGCGCGACACCGUGUUACUAGAUCUUGUACAGUACUCCCUCCGUUGCAGUACUCCCUAAUGAAAGUUGAGAAUCGAUCGACAACCACGGCUAGUUGCUAUGCACUCGAUCAGAUGGUCCAGGCGCCCGCUGGUAAUCAGGUCGUGGUUCACGCGCAUCAGGCCAGCUAUGACGUUGCCAGCAGUGCUCAGUACACAAAUCUAGCUAUCAGUCGGAUCCAAUUGGGCAGGCAUUUGCACUGUGGUUGUGUUUGAACCUGUAGAUGUCGUUGUCAUUAUCAGGCACCAUACAUCCUCUCUCAGAGGGUGUUUCACCCCCUAAACUUUAGCCCCUCUCACAUCGAAUGUUUUAGAUACUAAUUAGGAAUAUUAAACAUAGAAAAUUUACUAAACCCAUUACAUGGAUGGAGGGUAAACGGCGAGACAAAUCUAUUAAAUCUAAUUAGUCCAUGAUUUGACAAUGUGCUGCUAUAGUAACUAUUUGCUAAUGAUGGAUUAAUUAGACUUAAUAGAUUUUUCUUGCUGUUUAGCCUCCGUCUGUGCAAUUAGUUUUAUAAUUAAUUCAUAUUUAGUCCUCCUAAUUAGUCUCCGAAUAUUUGAUGUGACACGGACUAAACUUUAGAUAGCACACCAGGGACCGACACCAUGCAUGCUGAUUUCAUAUCAUAAUUAAGGAAAGUGAUAUCAUAAUUAAGGAAAGUGGUAGCAUCCAAGAAAUCGAUCAUGUUUCUUCCCCCUUUGGCUUUCCUACUAGGAUUUGGAUAGCGGGCCUUCCUACUAGGAUUUGGAAUCCGCUAUCGCAUGACUAUCUUAAUUAUGUCCCAUAGUCCAAAACUCACAAAACAUCAAAAAUCCAUCGAGAAUAAAUUAAGUAAAAAACAUGCGCACACAGAUAAUAAUAAUAAUAAUCAUGUUUCAAUAAAAUUGCUAAGAUUAGAGAUAGUACAUAAACAUAUUAGAUUGUUCGUGACACAUAUCAUGGUGGAUAGUGUCUGUGUCCUUAUUACAAGCAGCGAUAGAUGCUUGUCACCACACACACGCACGCACAGAUGCACGACAUACAUAUAGUUGAGACCAACGGAUGGACGUCCCAUAGGGUGAAUAAUUUAUUGGAGAUAAAUAUUAACAUAACUUGGCCAUAGCUUGAAGCAUAGCAACAUAUGCUUAUGAAUGGCAUUCAUGCGGGUAGCAAUGCUAUCAUAUGCUUUUAGGCUUGUCCUUAGCUUCUUCCAUCUUAUAGCAAACACUGCCAUUUCUUCCAUCUUAGCAGCAACUGUCAAAUUAAUUGAGAUAUGGAAAUCCCAUUAGCGCAUGAGUUAAUUUUGCAGUGGAAAUAGAGUAGAAGAUGUCUUCAUAAUGUAAGUAAUAUGACUCUGACAUAGGGAGUGAAGUCAACAAAUUACAUUAACGGAAAUGCAUGGAAGGCCACGCAUAUGUAUUAGUCCGAUAUGCUACAAAGCUUGUAUGUACAUAUAAUAAAUUAAAUGCAUUGAAUAGAGUGAUUUUAGUGAAUUUACCUAAAUCGGAUUAAAAAACAUGGGAAACAACAAGUGUUCUUGUAGGGCUUUGUUUAGUUCCCAAAUUGGGAGUAGCAAAGUUUGCAUUUUACCAUAAAUGCGCAACUAUAGCAUGUAGCAUUUUGUUUGUAUUUGUGAAUUAUUAUCCAAACAUUGACUAAUUAGGCUCAAAAGAUUCAUCUCGCAAAGUACAACAAAACUGUGCAAUUAGUUUUUGAUUUCGUCUACAUUUAGUACUCCGUGCAUGUACCGCAAGUUUGAUGUGAUGGGGAAUCUUGCUUUUCAAUAGUGACAAAGUUGGGAUUUCGGGGGGAAGGCCUGUGUCGGAGCCACAUGCAAGAAUGGCUGACAUUGAGGCUCAGACAAAGCCCAAUGGCAACUGCUGACAUGCGAUUAAAUUUAGAUAUCCACAUCCAGCCAUUCACAUUUAUGAGAUAUGGACACGGUGCAAAUGGGUGGGGUCCUGAUAUGGAGGUGCGAAUGGCUGUCUACUUGUAUAGUGUAGCUCCAAUGUACGUAUAUGUAUCUUAUGCAUGUAUACAGUUGCACAAACUCUGAACCAACUCUUCAUAACAGGUCUUUGUUACCAAGUAACUUUACUUUUGCACGUUUCAGCCGAGAGGUAGAAGAGAAUAUUUUUGCAUUUUCCAUGUGCGUCAGUGGUAGAGAACUAGGAAUUAGUUCCGGAUGGUAGGGCACAAAUCUUCCAAACAACUAUCCGAAAUUAAGCAAUCGAGAUAAAGGGUGCCAUCUAUUCUCUCCGAAAAACACAGGUACCAAAAAGAAGAAGAGAAGAGGGAGGGCCUCCCGUUAAGGCCCGCUCGGGGUCUCCAUCCCACCACGCGCCCUCCCAACCCAAAGCCCAUCGUUUUCCCUCCGUCCCUCCCCUCUCCAUUGCCGCCGCCGCUCCCCUCAUCCGAGCUCGAUACGGGUGGUCGGCGGCCCCUCCUCUCCGCUCCCGCCCCCGGCCUCCCUUUGACCGCCGGGCGCCGGCAUCACUGCCGCGGCCAACCCCAGGGCGCAGCGCGUGCCUCUAUUUCUCUCCCCCGUUCAAGGGCCCUUUGAUGGCGACGAGCACCCACCCACCAGGUAUGCCCUCCCCUUCUCUUCCUAACCCUAAUAUAUUCGGAUCUCACCCAGUCACAAUAUAUUACCUAAUAGCUUCGAUUUUGUUUGCAAAAAUCAUCACGUGCGCACCCAUGUCCGCUAGAUUCUUGCGCCUGAUCCUGUGCUGCUAUGGUUUGGGCGGGGUAGACUAGUUGAUUCGUGCACUUUUGGGUGCUUGUAGUGCUAGGUUUUGGAGGGGGAUAGCCCAGUUGAUUCCUCCGUUUUGGGUGCUCAUGGUGAUAGGAUUUGGAUGGGGAUAGCCCCAAUGAUUCGUGCGCCUUUGGGUGCUGGGGAUAGUUUUGGGUGCCUGGAUAGUCCAGUUUCAAUGUCAGUAUAUGCGUAUUUUGGGGAGAAUUUUGUUUUGGGUGGUUCUGGUGCUAGAGUUUCUGAUGCUUAGUAGCCCAGUUUCAAUCAAAUUCCCCCAUGGGUCGUGCACUACGGGAAACAAGAAAAUUGCCGAGUGUAUUUUUUUUGUCGAGUGUUUUUUUUCGAGCACUCAGCAAACAAGCUCUUCGCCGAGUGCCAAGUCAAAAACACUCGGCAAAAAAAAACACUCGGCAAAUCGGGGCUUUGCCGAGUGUCAAAUAAAAAACACUCGGCAAAGAAGGGGGUUUGCCGAGUGUUAAAAAAAACACUCGGCAAACAGGAGGGUUUGCCUAGUGUUUUUUUGACACUCGGCAAAAAAAUAAUUGUUUUUCCUCUUUUCACCUUGAAAUUUUUUCUACUCCCCACAUACAACACGUGGUACUCCAUGUUAAAAUUUGGUAUAUUUUUGGAUUUAUUUGCUAUAUUUAUUUAAUUAAUUGCAUUACAAGGAAAUUUUUGGUAUAAGUCAAAUUUGAACUGCAAGUGAUUCAAAUUGUGGAACAAAAUGAGUAGAAAAAUGAUAUUCAUGUUAUUUGGCUCAAUUUGAGACCUGACCCAUGAAAUGAAAAGAAAUUUCGAACAUCUUGUUCAGGAAACACGACAAUGAACAUGUGGCGGUAGUAUUUUUAAAUUGUAAAAAAAACAAGCAAAGUCUGAAAAUCAUGAGAUUUGUAGUUAUGUGAUGAUAUAAUACGUGGAAGCUGUGGAAAAAAAUUGGAAAGGUUUUGCACAUUUCAUCAUGUACGAUGAUUACAAACCGAAGCAUAUCAGAAGAAGAAUAGUAACUUUGAGAAGGAUUCGAUAAAAUUUAGAGUCGAAGUGACGGUCGAGUUCGGUUUGACUACAAAACUUUUUGUAUAGUCAGUAGAGAACAUAUCUUAUUUCGUGUGAAAAUUUGGUAUUUUUUGAAACUGUUGGAUAUUUUUAAUUUUUUUUUAAAAAAACUUUGCCGAGUGUCCUAGGGUAGACACUCGGCAAAGAAAAACUUUACCGAGUGCCCGCCUAGGACACUCAGCGAACCUUUUUUUAAACCUACCGGCUCCGGCCGGCCCAGCCCACAAACACCACCCGCCCCCCGCCCCCGCGCCUUCUUCCUCACGCCGCCCCCGCCCCCCACCCGUGCCUCCGGACCGCCCCCUCCUCCCCCUGGCCUCCCCUCACGCCGCCCCCCUCCUCCCCUAGCUCCCUCCACCGGCGGCCCUCCCUCCCCCGGCGCACAUCCUCCACUCCUCCUCCCCUUCCCUUCCCUCCCCUCCCCUCCCCUCUUCCUCCCCUGGCCGGAUCUGGCGCCCCUAGCUCCCCUUUCUUCCGCGGCCAGAUCUGGCGCCCUCCCGGCGGCGGGUCGUGGCGAUCGGGGCGGCGGCGGCGGAUCAGGCCGCGGGGCGGCGGCGGCGGCGGGUCGUGGCUACCGGGGCGGCGCCCUGCCCCUCCCCUCCCUCUCCAUCUCCGGCUGCCGUCCACCCCCUCCCCGGAUCCGCCCCCCUCCCCUCCGCGCGGCCAGCCCCUCCUCCCUCUCCGGCCGCCGCCCCGGCCCCUCCUCUCCCUUUCUCCGGCCACCGCCCCGCCCAUCUUCUCUGGAUCCGGCCGGAUCCGGCCGCCGCACAGCCCCUCCUCCCCGGAUCCGGUGGGCGCGGACUUCGUGGUGGUGGCGCCGGAUCCCUCCCCUCCCUCUCCAGAUAACUCCCUCCACUCCUCCGCUCUUCCCCUCUCUCGCGCGGCGGCCUCUCUCCGGCCGCCGCCCCGCCCCUCUCCCCGGAUCCGGGGGGGGGGGGACUCCGCCCCUCUGCCCCGGAUCCAGCUCCCCGACCCGCGAGUGGGGCGAGCUUGCUCAUGCGGUCGACGUCGAGGCCAGGGUGUGGUGGAGGUGGUGGCCGGCGGGUGUGGUGGUGGUGGCGGCGGCGGGCAUGGCGGCGCGGAGGCAAGGCACGGCGGCCGGUGGGAGGCACGGGUGCAAGGCGUCGACGGCAGGAGGCAAGGCACGGCAGCAUGGGAGGUGGUGCUGUGGUGGUGGUGCUGGCGGUGGUGGCGGCGGCGGAGCAGGAUGUGGUGGUGGCGGAGGAUGUUUUUUUUUCAAAAAUUUGUUGCCGAGUGUUUUCUCGGCACUCGGCAAAGACUUUACCGAGUGCCCGACACAAAACACUCGGCAACUCAGUGUUUGCCGACUGAAAAAUUGCCGUGUGCCGUUUGCCGAGUGUUACACUCGGCAAACGGUUCGCCGAGGGUUUUUUGCCCUUCGCCGAGUGCCCCUAGCACUCGGCAAUUUCACUAUCUCCCGUAGUGGUGGCUGGACUUAUGGGGGGAUCAUUGAUGGGGGACUAGUUGGAUACUUUUUGGCUGUUUUGGGAGUCCUUGGCAGCGGCUUCUCAGGGCGUACGUAGCCCAUUGUAGAUUCCAGCCGAGAAGAUUAAGGAAUUGUGACUGCAACCAUGUUACUUUUCUAGGACUCUGUUUCUGAUAUUGUUCCCGCUGCAUCUUUUCAUCCCCAUGGUGAAUGUUGCUGUUGAUCUGUAGAUUGGAUUUGUUCCUCGGUAGCUUUAUUAGAUUUGUGCUGAAUGAUAAUCUCUGCCUGUGAUAUUUUUCUUCAUUGCGGAUGUGUGCCGAGUAUUAUCCCCUUUGUUCAUUCUGUUGGCUUUUUUUAUUGUCUCUGUACUCGGCUGUUCAGCUUGUGCAGCUAAUGAUCUAAUGUAUUUUGUCGUAACUAUGUAUUUUUCGGAUGUGUGCCGAGUAUUAUCCCCUUUGUUUAUUCUGUUGGCUUGCUUUCAUUGAUCUUAAGAUAACUGGUGCUAUAAAUUCACACUAGCUGAUGCACUUGCAAAUAGCUAUGUAAAUAUGAAAAGAAGUAUUUUUUUAUCCUUUUGUUUGUUUGGCAUCAUAUCUGUUUAAAUGGCAUAGCAAUAAGAAUUUUUUGUUUUUGGGGAAUCAUAUCUGCUUAAAUGGUAUAGAAAAUGCUGAGUGCACUGUCAAAUAGAUUUUCCAGCAGUCUGCUUUCAGUUGUUUUUGCAAAUCCUCACAGGCCAGUGAACUGACUUUGUUUUUACCACCCCAUGCCAUUUAAAUGACUAAAUCAGUCAGCCUAAUACUAUAUAUGGUCAUGCUAUGAUCUUAUUUCUUGAAGCUCUAUAGGUCAACCCAUAAGGGUAACUUAGUUUUUCCUAUUCUGGCUGGGGAAGUGGAUACGAUGGCUAUCCUUGGUAGAGUUAAAUACAUUGGCGGCUCUUAGCGCGCCAAUGUGGCACCACAAUAUCGAACAUAUGUAGAAACCCCCUUGUUUUUUCUCAUAUCCCUCUCUCUCAGCGUCCUCUUCUCUUCUUCUCCUCUGUCUCCUCCCCUCCCAUCGCGUGCUUUAUUGCGCCGCCGCCAUCCGCCUCCAUGUAUGAACACGUCGUUUGUCAUGAAGAAGCAGUUGAUGAGGCAAUCAAGCAUGUGGUGCACAAGGUUCUUCUGCUGGCCAAGUCCGAGUCGAACAGCCGCGCAUUCAUUGGGGAAGCACGCGCCAGGCAUCACCAGGCUCCUCGUGCCCCUACUCUGCUCCAAGGACUCGGUGCUUCGACGCGCUGCUUUCCCUGUCCGGCGAGCGGGGAUCGUUGGGAGAUGAUCGAUGGAGGAUGGAGCUGAUCCUCCUGUACACGGUGCCGGUGGGGAGCAGGGAGCUGCGGAGCAGGUCCACGGGCGGCGCCAUUACAGCAGGUGCAGGCUAAGGGUAAUGAGCAGAUCGAGGCGAUGGAGGAGGACCCGCACGAGGUGCAGCUUCUUCGCCUCCUGCGCAAAGUCAGCGCCCAAGCAGCCGCUGAGGGACAGGCCGAGGCUUAGCUCGAUCUCAUCCGACUAAAUGGUGGCUGCACUCCCACAGUCCCACUGGUGCUCCUCCCUUCUGUCCGAACCUGCCGAGGAAAUCCCUCGAUGCCAUGGGUCCCGGCUGGACGACUACUCCUCCCACAGAUUGACUGAGGAAGAAGAGCUUCUCAGUGUCCAAAAAUUCAGUUACACUGGAAACAGCAACCAAUUACGUUCUUCCGGCUCAGCCAAGCCCCAAUCUCCUUGCUUCUGUGCGCCCCUGCUAAAUAUUCCAGAAACCAAUCUGGUUAGUUGUUUUUUCACAUUUUCAGUGCAUGCCGGUGCUGCUGUGUGCGGCAUGCAUGGAGUUGUCGUGGGAGUGCACGGUGGCUUAGCUGGUGCGCCAGUGCGCGGGCACGAACACAACGGUGAAGAUGGCAGGGCCAUCUCAAAGCUCCUGAGCACCUGCACGCGUCGCUGAGCAGGACAUGCUGCGACGGUGGGCGAGCGCUGCUAACGCCCUGGGGAAGAGCAGUGGGUGCAGAGAGAGGGAGCGAGGGAGAGGGGUUCUUGUAUAUGUUUGCUAGCGUGGCACCGUUUACGGUGCCCGCCUAAGUGGCAUUCACGUGUCAUUCAUCCCAAAUGGUGUUGCAAGGUUGAACCUAUUGUGGGAGGCUUUUGGUUUCCCUUGACAGUAUCACCAGUGAUAUCACUGCGUUCUGGUUAUGUAUGAAACACUUGUCCUUUUAAAACCUUUCUGAAUUUAGAAACGAAUUUGAAACAUUACCCUCAUUUCCAUGUUUUUCUAUCUUUUGUCCCUGUAAAAUCAAACUAAAUUUGAAUUAUUAUGUUCAGAACUACAAGCUGAUUUACUUGUCCCAUUUGCUAAUAACAGGGCCUUGUGAUUUCUAAUGAACAUUGCAGAGCAUGUUAUAAAGCGUAUGCAUGAACACCAAGGGGAUGAAACCAUUGGUAUAUUUCUCACAACCUUUUGAACUUAUCAUUUAGCAUAUUUGUGUUCUAGUGUGACGUUUCAGCCACGAGACAUGAGAAAUGUUAGCUAUGGAUUUUGGUUAUUCAUCAUGGGUUCACAGAUUUGUUUUUCUCUAAAAGAAUUGGGAAGUAGCUUUCUUUCUGGGUAUAUGUGGGGAAAUGCAUAUGCAAUCUUUUAUUUAUUGAGGUGACUGUAAAAUUCUUGUCUGACUGAAUAUGCGAUUUCAACCUACAUGCUAUACUUAGGGAAAUUUGUGAAUCUCCUAAUGUCUGCUGCAUGGCAUGAAUGCAUAUUUUACUGGUCCAUAAUGUGAAGUUCUGUAUAUAAACUUCUCGUGUUGACCCUUUAGAACAUGCUAACUGGAGAGUUUUCUAGAGUAGUUAAACAAGAGAUUUAGUUAAAUCUGCACACAUAGGUGGGGCCUGGCAUACCCUAAGAAUCGGCCUAGCCGGUCAGCCCAUUAGUAAAAAAAAAAGCACCGCAGUCAGCAGUCCCCACGUUGGUCUUCCUCGAGUCGCGACUCGCGAAGCUCCCAUCCUCCGAGUCCAAGAUGGUGGACUGUGUCGAGCGCGGGGCGGGCGAUUAGUUGCCCGGCCGCCGGCGGGGGAUGGCCGGACGGCCAGAUCGCCGACUCCUCUAGUCCUCCCUCCAGCCUCUGCGCUUCUUUCACAGUGGAGCUAGCGGCGAGGCGCCCGACCGACACCCUUCUUCCCAAAUCCCGGCAGCCCUACCUCGAUUUGGCCUCCUCCGAUCAUUUGAUAAUCAAUUUGAUGAAAUUAAUAUGGAGUUGCUUUCUUGUAUGGUUGCCUUCAAUCCUGCUAAUUCAUUUGCUUCAUUUGAUGCACAAAAGAUACAUAGACUUGCUAUAUUUUUAUCCACAAGACAUCACAAGCACGGAUUUGCUAAAACUUGAAUUCCAGCUCGAUAUUAUAUUGAUGAUGUGAGAUAGGAUGAUAGUUUCAAAGGCCUACAAGAUCUUGUUAACUGAGACUCAGUUAAGCUUGUUGAAACAAACAGGCAUAAUAUUUAUGACUUGGUUUACUUGCUUCUCAAAUUGGUAUUGGUUCUUCUUGUGGCGACAGCUAGUGUUGAAAGGGAUUUUUGUGCAAUGACUUUGAUCAAGAGUAAGCUAAGAAAUAAGAUGGGUGAUAGUCUUUUGGAUGAUUGUCUUAUCACAUUCAUUGAGAAAGAUAUUUUCUUUGAAGUGGAUGAAGAAGAUAUAAUUAAGACUUCAUAUCCAUUAGAAAUCGUAGGCUGGAGAAGAAGUAAUAUUUUAAUUUUCUUUGAACGUUAGGUCUGUAAGCUUCUUUUAAACUAUCUACAUUAUAAUUUAUGGACCUUUUAAUUUAACCGUUGAAUUCAUGAUAUUAUGAGAUUUUUUUAUCUAUGUUAUUAUUGUUUACCGAUUUAUUACCAAAUUAUUAGUUUGAUCUUACAAUAUUGUAUUUUGGAUGAUUGGCUCGGCAUACUCUAAGUUUAAAUCCUAGCUCCGCCACUGUUUGCACAUUAAUGUGGCUUAUAUGUGUGGAGUCACUUAACCUAUGCACUUGGACCUCCACUCCCUUAGGUUUUAUGAACCUAAUUUGACAGCCUGCUCGUCUUUUAUUUUCUACCAAUCAGCUAGGAACGAACAUGGUGAUGUUUGCAUCUCUGCCAUCAAUGGCUUACAUGUCAUUAUGUAUCACAUUAGCAAGUCUUGUUUUGUUAUUGGCUGGGAUGACGGGGACUCUAGCUGGAAUUGAAUCAAAGUGGUAGAUCACAGGGUAUUCAUUGCCAUGUAUUUCUGCAGUUGCAUGGACUUGCAUCAAACGGACCUUCCUACUUAUGUGAUUGUCCUAUAUGAUCUCCUUUGAUUUCAUUUGCACACUGUAAUCACAUUAGCUAGAACACUCGCUUUUUGCUUCAAAUUUGAAAUUCAUAUCAUGAUGGACUAGAACGCUGAAUUUCUUGAUUGCUGAGUUACUAAUCACAUUGUGGCGCUGCCAAAGAAGCUGGACUCUUCAUUGUUGUUGCCUUGUGGGCUGCCGUGUGCAAAGAACAAGAGCGCACGGUAUUAUAAUAGCAGAGCAGAACACAGACAAGCGACAAGGAGCGGAGCAGAGCAGAGCACAGCCAGGCACAAGCAGUAGAGUAGAGCAGAGCAACCGGGAGAGGAGAGGGCACAUAUGCAGAGUAGAGCAGAGCCAAGCGCAAGCAUUCAUGCACUCAAGCAUGCAGCAGAGGUGUAGCAAGGCAAGCACAAGCAGCAGAGCAGAGGGAAGGGAAGGCUGGGAGAUGAAUAGGCGAAUAGUUACCUGGACAGAGCAGAGGGAAUGGAGAUGAUGCAGAUGCUUCCGGAGACUCGAGAUUUGGAGAGGAACAAGGCCACGUUGUGAACAAGGUCUCCUUUCUCUUCUCUAUUUCCCGCGCAAGUACUUGUGCAUAGUGGCUGCCUCAUCCUCCAGGACGUCCACUUCAACCUGAGGCGGGUGCCACAGACAUCCUGGCUAUGCGACGGCUACCCCCAGCACACCCCCGGCGCCUAUGAACCAUGAUCCUAAUACUAUAAAUUGUCAACCUUGUAAUCUUAUUUCAAGCAUGCUCUCUAUGUCAACCUGUAAGGUUAACUUCGUUUUUCCUUUUCUGGGUAGGGGAGUGGAUAUUGCUGUUAUUUAUAUUAUGUUGAUAUUGGUUUCCACAUGUCAUUCACCCCAAAUGUGUUGCAAGGUUGAACCUAUCAUCGGAGGAAUUUUUUUCCCUUUACCUUUAUAUCACUACGCUCUGGUUAUGUAUGAAACACUUGUCUUCUUAAAAACCUUAAUUUAGAAACAAAUUUGAAACACUAUCUUCAUUUACAUCCUGUAUGUGUUUUCUACCUUUUGUCCUAUAUGAUCUGCUUUGAUUUGAUUUGUGCAUAGUUUUUUCAAUUCAGACCUGGUGAUUUCUGAGGUUCAUGUUGUGCUGAUAAGCAGCCUACUAUUCAGUAACACUUUCAUGUGGCAUGUUCAUGUUAGCUAGCUAGAAACACUGCUUUUAGCUUCAAAAUUCAAAUUCAUGACAUGAUGGACAUUGACAAUGAAUUUCUUGAUUGCCGAGCUAUGUACACUGUAAUUCAGACCUGGUGCUUUUAGUUUUUUUCUUGAUUGCCGAGCUAGAAACACUGUGCUUUUAGUUUUUUCAAUUCAGACCUGGUGAUUUCGGUUUUUUCAAUUCAGACCUGGUGAUUUCUGAGGUUCACGUGUCACACCGAUUUUAAGAACAAAAUCGAGUGCAUUAAAUAUACAUGUACGCUAGGAUCAGGUUACACACAUGUACGACAUAAGCGAAUAUCAAAGACAAUGCCAUAACGAAAUAAAGAGAGUAUUAAUCAUUAUUACAUGACCGAAAGUCUCAAAUAAACCACAAAAUCUAUUUAUUACAUAGCGGAACUUCUAAGAUAGCAACGUCUCCACAGGCAGCUGACUGAAGAACUGUAUGCCUAGAACUCUUCAAAAUCGUGCAGGUACUCCUCCAGAUUAGCUUGGUAUGAACAACGGUUUUGCAAGGGUGAGUACACUUAUGGUUGGUACUUAAUAAGUCGUGGGAAACAAUGUAGUGUAAGGCAAAUCAAGGUAUGGCUAAGGCUUAAACAGCAUCAGCUUUUAAUUUAGUUGGUCAAAUUUUAUUAGCAAUUAAUUAGACGUAAAUUUAUACCACCCGAAAUUAAACAAGAACAUGAAUAAAAUAAUAACAUAACCAUAAAUGAAAUGACAACAAUUUAAAUCCAUCUUUUCAUAGCAUUAUCAUGUGAGGGUCCAGUCCGUUCUUAACCGUGAGCACCGCUGAUCGAUCAGUUUUACACUCUGCAGAGGUUGUACAUCUUUACCCACAAGUCGCGUAAAAGUUCAAAAGAAUUUUGGACCCAACCAUGCGGUAUUUGCAAGGCACCAUACCACACUUCCAAGGUGUGAUUGCAUAUGAACGCUACGAGGCCUUUACAAAGAUUCAUUAGUAAGUGGUAACCCGCUAAGGUUUCGGUAUUUGGCGUGCACAACCUAUCACAGGCCGCUAAUGCAACGACUCAGUCCCCCCUCUUGCCUCAUCACGAGUAAGAUUACCCCAGACUAAGGUUUCUAAUUAUUCAGCCAAGAUCAGAACCAUUUAGUCUUGUGGUAGCACUGUUUUCCUGGGUGGUUCUCCAUGUUCCGAUUAAACAUAAUGGUCUUGUAUUAAUGGAAGGUAUAACAUAAAUAAUACCAAAUUAAUAAUAAUUCAGAUUAAAUCACCAUAACCAUAUUUGAGCACUAAGCAUGAGCUACCCAACAUAAAUUUAACCCGGUUGGUCAAGGCAAGGUAGAUAAAGUCUAGGAAAUUCUUAAUUGGGACCCAUCAAGUUUAAAUUAUACUUUGCAUGGUAUGUUGCAUAGAACAUGAAAGUAAAUGUGAAUAGGACUGAAAAGGAGUGAUUAGGGACACGACUUGCCUUUUUAACCUUGUUCUUGCUGUUCGUACUCUUCGAAAACUUUGAUCUUCAAAUCCCUUGAACUGCUGACCGUCUACACGCGUCACACGACCACAUACAAGCAAACAAAUAUAAUACAUAAGAAAACAGUACACCAAUCAUAAUUAAAUAGAAGAAACAAAUUUGAAAAGCUAUUCUACGCAUUAAAACGAAAACACGGAUACAAGGAACGUUAAAAACGGAGCUACAGUGCAAAAACUACGCUUAAAACAAGAUGCAGGGGUAUAACUACGAGAAACCAAACUUCCAGGGAUUUAAUUUUAAAUAAUUUUGAACUGCAGAAGGGGCAGCAGGGCAAAACGUAGAAAAUGCAGGGGCUUAAGCGCAAAAGCAUGGCUGCUGACUCAGCUGACUUGAUGUGGAUCGUCGGAUGGCGAUCCGGCGGCCGGCAGCUGCUGCGCUGACGUCAGCGACGGCGAGCGCCGGCGAAAAACGGCAGUUCGCCGGAAUCGCCCGGGAACGCGCGACUGGGUGCAGAUUUGAGCGAGGAUUAGACUAGCAGAUAGAAACGAGCGCAGUGAACUCAUUUGGGAUGCCUACGGCGAGGACUUGGCGACGGCAUCGGCUCCGGCGAGAACUUGCGGCAGGGAAACCAAAUAAAAUAAAAUAACACGGUUCAGAGAAGCGGCGCUGGAGGAACGCGAGCGAUUUUGCGUGCGAGCGGAAGAAAACACUGCGAGGAAGAUGACUGCGGGCCCUGCUUGUCUGCGGCAGGAGGAGAGCUGCGUGCGAGAAGAACCUGGCCACGAUCUGGGCCGUUGCCUUCGAUCUGGGCCGAGGCAAGCUAGCUGGCCCGCUGCUGCGGAAAGGUGCUGGGCCACGGGCGGAGCACAGCGUCGGGCCAGAAAGGAGAUGGCUGCUGCGAGGAAACAAAAGAAAAUGAACUGGGCUGCGACAGAGGAAAACUGGGCGUCGGCCAGAAAGAAGCUGCGUGCAGCUUGCUCUUGUUUCCGAACUAGAAACAGGAACUGACGGAAAGACAGAAAUCAAUUGGAGACUGAAACUGACGCCCCAGACUCUGAACUUCGAAAAAACAGGACAACCAGCCAACUGACAGAAAAAAAAAAGCUUAACAACCCAAAAGCAGUACACAACCACGAAACCAGGCCACAAGACUGAAAAAGCUUGAUAGGAACAUCUGGCGACUGAACCAAAAAACUACAGAACUGCAACUGAAGAACUAGAGAACAGAUAAAUAACUGAUUGAACUCUGAAACUGAAACACCAAAGAGCAGGAAGCUGACUGACGGAAAAUGCAAAACAGCAACCCAAGGUGAAACACAAAUUCUUCUUCAAGCAUUCAAACAAAGAGAUAUGCAACAGCAUGAAUGCUCAAUAAAAUCCUAUAUUUCAUUAAUUAAUUAGAAAAAAUGCUCAAAUGCCUAGAAAAAUGCAAAAGUGACCUUAUAUGCCUUAAACAAGCAAAUUCGUUUCUAGCGAUUUUUGGUAAAAUGCAAAAUUAGAGAUUUUGGGUGUUACAUCAUGUUGUGCUGAUAAGCAGCCUACUAUUCAGUAACACUUUCAUGUGGCAUGUUCAUGUUAGCUAGCUAGAAACACUGUGCUUUUAGCUUCAAAAUUAAAUUCAUGACAUGAUGGACAUUGACAAUGAAUUUCUUGAUUGCCGAGCUAUGUACACUGUAAUCACAUUGUGGGGCUGAUAAAAUAAGCAGCGUUGAGACACAUAACAAUUGAAUCUUAAGCUUCACACAGAAUCUGGACCAGUCAUCCUCAUUCCUGUCAUGCUGGAAAUGUCUUUGAUACAUUUCAAUCACAGGCAAUUGAAUUCGUACUGGGGAGGAUGGCAAUGGUGCAUGAAGAGAGAUCAAUGUGGCAAAUCUCACAUUGUUCAUUACCAGGUAUCUCCGAUUUCUGGUUAUUUUAAAUUUACCUUGACAUGUGACUUAUUGAGGUAUUGUAUUUCAUCUAAUGGUAGUUCUGAAUUUAUGGUAACCUUGGAUGGGGUUUGUCACUUUAUACACGCACGGACUUACAAAGGACAGCAAAUGAGUAUAUUUAGAGGGCUCCUGUCCAACCAUGGACUAUACUUAUGUACCCUUUUUUGACAUGGUAAUUUGAGGUUAAUGGAAAAGUAGCGAUAGUCGCCUCCAGCGAAGCUACCUUCUUCGAAAGCUCCGAGGCUGCUUUCUCGCUCUUAGCAAGCCGAUCCCUCGUAAUCAUCGAAGAGUAAGAGACCUACAGAUUUUAAAAACCAAGUUACCAAAAAUAACGAAGUAAAAGACAACACUCGCAAGACAAACCACCAAACUAUCUCAUAAUUGUACCUUCUUUACGAGGUUCGCCUCCAAGUUAAAGAGCUCUUCCAAGAUCAUUGACUUCACAGCUUGCUGAAAAUCUAUGCGCCAAAGGAUAUAGUCGUAAGCAUAAAAUAAAAAUUGGUAAAAACCAAGGACAGCAAAGCCAUCUACAAGCUGUUCUUACCCUCAUACUUUCGCACCUCAACGGCGAUCGGAACAACCUUCUCUCUAGCCUCGCCCUUAGACGCCACCACAAUCUUCCCGCCACACAAAUCCACAACCCCUCCUUUACCUUUGCCCUCUCCCGAAGUCGUCGUGCCCGCCUUCUCCACCCUUUUUGAACCGCCAACAUCUGCAUAGCGCUCGCAACCUUCACCUUCAGCCCCCCAGACCAAAGACAGGUUGUGAGGAUUAUAAACCCUACCUUCGGCGCAUGUAGCUAGAAUCUCCGUGCGCCCGCUCAAGCCCAGACACUCAUUCAGUCCCUGAAGCCCCGCCGGCAACCUCUCACCUACAUCAUAACAUUCAACUUUUAGCCUCACAUGAUCCUCACAACUAACCUUACCAACGCCCCCCAUAGUUUCUUCCAAGUCCUUCAAAAAUUUCGUUGAGGCCUCACCACAAUCAAAGAACCGUAGCAUCGAUAGAAACACCUCUACAUGCUUACCAGAUCUCACAGCUUCGGCACACCCACCCUUUGGAUCAGAUGAGAACGCAUCCACAAGCUUCGCCUUUUCGGUGGCAAACCCCCUCUCAAGUUUCCCAACAUCAGUCAAGAGAUGUUGCGCGCUCUUAAACUUCGAGCUUAUGGAAGGCACCGUGAUCUUGGUACCAGCUGCCGAAGACGCGUCAACCUUGGCACCCGUAACAGUAACAGGAGCAAAUCGAGGUUUCUUGGCGCCUCUUUUGAUCCGUGCGGCGGGCCCGGUGGAUGAAGGUGCAAGAGCUGGAACCUCCUUAGGAGGGCGCAUAGAGACAGGAACAACAUAUGCCGGAUUGCUCAAGUCGCCAGACGAAGCUGUCGACCACGAUGGCAACAUAGCAGACGAAGCCCCCGCGGUCAUUUCCUUCCUUUUUUGCGCCUCCAAAUUCAAGGUCUUUUGCUUCGCCUUAGCGGUCACUUGCAAUUCAAUAGUGAGCUUCACCAUGGGUACGAAGUCAAAUUUUGCCUUUUUCCUCUGCUCAAGACUAGCACCGCGACGGCGCCUCUUGCCCGUAACUUUGGGGUGAGGCAGAACCACAAUAUCAUACAAGUCAAAAAUCUAAGAUGAUGACAUUCCAUUUGUAUCCAUGAUUUAUAUUGUGUUCCUUGAAUAUCCAUUAAAGUCUACUUGAAUUGAUUUGCAAUUAUGUGAAUUGUAUGUGAAACUCUUUCCUUGUAUGGUUAUUCUAAAGUUGUCCCUAGUCGGAGUUCAUGUGAGGACACAUGAAUAUUAGACUAGCACAUGUAUUAGUUGAUGACUAUGUUUCACAAGUCAUGGACAUGAAGAUGUGGAACUAAUAAUGUGGGCACAUGUGGAGACACGUGCUAGGACUGACCCAACACGAGAAGUAGUUCUCUCUUUAUACAACAUAUACGCUUUGUCCUUAGACCUGAGAUUGUCGCAUGUACUCAAGAUGUGGAUCGACUUACUUAGGGGCUAUCAAAUUCUACGCCGUAACAGGGUAGUUAUAAAGGUAGCUUUCGGGUUUGUCAAGAAGCAUGCUAUGAGACAUGGUCAAUCAAGAUGGGAUUUGCCCCUCUCUGAUUGAGAGUGAUAUCUCUGGGCCCCUCGAGUGAUCGGAUCCGAAAAUGCAUGGCCAUGCUACAUACGAUUAAGAGUUAGCCUACAAAAGGAUUCCGAAUCAUAGGAUCGAGAAAGAGCGGUCGGCUUGAAGCUAGACCAAAUAUCGUGAGGCAAAGGGAAUAGCAUGUAUAUAAUGUUGUGAUGGUUCGUCUGAUAUGAUCUUCGUGUGCGUAUAGGAGUUGGCACGUCUUGCUAGAGGUCGCUACCGACUAUUGGGCCGAGUAGGAGUACUCAGGCCAUGUCUAUACGUAUCCGAACCCAUAGGGUCACACACUUAAGGGGCUGGAAGCCCAAUUCGGAUGUGAUCCGAAUUGGAUUAGGUUUAGAAGUACUAAUGGGCCUUGGACCUAGAGGCCCGUUAGGAACCUCUAUAAAUAGAGGGGUGGGGGCGCCCUAGGGUUUACACCUUUUUGGUGAAACACAUCUGCCGCGCCUCCCACGCCUUCGCCUGUUGCAACUCGCGGACCUAGCAGUCCGGCUUGCGACGCUUCCUCCCUGCACGUGUGGAUACCUUGGAAGUGUUGCUCCUGCAGCACUUGGACGAGCCGCCAACGAGCCACGACGAGCCACGAUGAGCCGACGAUGAGCCGCGGCACGAGGGGGAUCUUGCUGCACGUGGACGAGCUGCUGAGGAGCUGCUGGACGUCGAUGUGUUCGACUACGUACGACUACGCUGAUCGACUUCGCUGCAUCAACGCGAAUCUACAUCUUCCGCAUCAUUGCAUCGAGUGGUAAUCCCGUGAUCCUGAUACGGCAGUUUUCCUAGUUUACGCGGUAGAAAAUUUUGUUUUGUGCUAGUGUAGCCUAACUCAUAUCCCAACAACGUGUGCUAUAGGUCACGCAAGCCUGAAAAUGGCCACACCGGACACCGGGUACGAAAACAUGGGGGAUGGACCGAACAUUUGAAAAUGGCCUCCAUAUGUGUUUUCGGCUAUGAAAAUGUGUGUUAUAGGUCACAGAAGCUUGAAAACGGCCGCACCAGCCACUAGGGACGAAAACGUGGGGGAUGGACCAAAGACAUAAAAAAUAGCCUCCAGACGCGUGUUCGGCCAUGAAAACGUGUGGUAUAGGUCCUGGAAGGCCAAAAACAGCUACACCGGCCACCUGGGACGAAAAAGUUUGUGUAAGACCGAACACUUGAAAAUAGCCUCUGGACGCGUGUUCGGCUAUGAAAAGGUGUGUUAUAGGUCACACGAGCCCCAAAACAACCACAGCGAACACCAGCUACAAAAACAUGGGGGAUGGAUCGAAUAAUUGAAAAUGGCCUCCAGACGUUUGUUCGGCCAUGAAAUCGUGCGUUAUAGGUCGCGGGAGCCCGAAAACGGCCACACCGGCCACCGGGAAUGAAAAUGUGGGGGAUGGACCGAACAAUUAAAAAUGGCCUCCGGAUGUGUGUUCGGCCAUGAAAACGUAUGUUAUAGGUCACGGGAGCAUGAAAACGGCCGCACUGGCCACUGGGGACGAAACGUGGGGGAUGGACCGAAGACGUGAAAAUAGCCUCCAGACGCAUGUUCGGCCAUGAAAAUGUGUGCUAUAGGUCAUGCAAGGCCAAAAACAGCUGCACCAGCAACCGGGGACGAAACCAUGGCUGUCAAACCGAACGCUUGAAAAUCGCCUUCGGACGCGUGUUCGGAUAUGAAAACAUGUGUUGUAGGUCACGCGUGCCCGAAAACGUCCACAACGGACACCGGGUACAAAAACGUGGGGGAUGGAUCGAAUAACUGAAAAUGACCUCCGAACGCGUGUUCGGCCAUGAAAACGUGUGUUAUAGGUUGCGGGAGCCCAAAAAUGGCCACACCGGCCACCGAGGAUCAAAACGUGGGGGAUUGACCGAACAAUUAAAAAUGGCCUCCGAUUGUAUGUUCGGCCAUGAAAACGUGUGUUAUAGGUCAUGGGGGCCCAAAAAUGGCCGCACCAGCCACCAAGGACGAAAAUAUGGGAGAUGGACCAAAGACAUGAAAAUGGCCUCCAGAUGCAUGUUUGGACAAAAGUGUGUGCUAUAUGUCGUGCAAGGCCAAAAACAGCUACACCAGCCACCGGGACAAAAACGUGGGUGUUUGACUAAACAAGUGAAAAUGGCCUCCGGAAGCAUGUACGGCUAUGAAAAUGUGUGCUAUAGGUAAUGGAAGGCUAACAAAAGCUACACCGGCCACCGGGGACAAAAUCAUGGGUGUCAGACUGAACACUUCAAAAUGGCCUCCGGACGCGUGUCCGGCUAUCAAAACGUGUGUUAUAGGUCAUGCGAGCCCGAAAACAACCACACUGAACACCGGGUACAGAAACAUGGGGGAUGGACUGAAUAACUGAAAAUGGCCUCUAGACGCGUGUUCGGUCAUGAAAACAUGUGUUGUAGGAUGCGGGAGCCCGAAAACGGCCACACCGGCCACCAGGGCAUGGACCAAACAAUUGAAAAUGGCCUCCGGAUGUGUGUUCGGCCAUGAAAACGUGUGUUAUAGGUCACGGGAGCCCAAAAAUAGCCGCACCGACCACUGGGGAUGAAAUCGUGGGGGAUGGACCGAAGAUGUGAAAAUGGCCUCCAGAUGCGUGUUCGGCCAUGAAAACGUGCGCUAUAAGUCAUGUAAGGCUAAAAAUUGCUACACCGGGACUAAAGCAUCCCCCAUGAGUUACAAUAAAAGGAUUGUAUCCUCUACUCAGUCGGAUGUACUGUGUAGGUGAGAUGGUAAGGAAGCUAUGCGCGAGGUUUGAGGUUGUGGGUUGAAAUCCUACGCACCGCGCGCACACGCGCAUAUUUUGUGUGAAAAAUCAUGUGACUUGUGAUCGGCCAAGGAGAAGUGGGUGCAGCUGUGGCUUAAGUGGCUGAGGCACGCUGCCAUAGACAUCUCCGAUUUGCUCGAAGACUACCAAGACACUAGCAAUAACAAGAACUACUGCUCUUCCUAGCAGACUCUUUACAACCACUUUAAAGCUGUGCAUUUCUCAAUGUAAUUUCGUAGAAGGCAAUCGAUCCAACCAAGCGACUAAAUCAUUUGUUCUUGCCAAUGAUGUACAUCAGGUUUUCUAUAUGAAGGACAUGUCUAGCAAACCUAAGAUUUUAGAAGAAAAAGAAAAAUUAUGGGAGUCAAUAAUAAAUCAGGCCAAUCAGGAGAUUAUAGUAAGCUCGAUGGUAUGCCUCCAUUCGAUGUCGAAGUUGGCCCAAGCAUCAUGUUAGCCAAAGAUCAAAUGUUCGUGCAUUGCUACGGUAAAGAUCAAUUGUGUCUUUUAAACCCAUGGAAUUUUUUAUCUAUGUUUUUAUUACACUUAAUGGAUGUCUACACAUUUGCUAGAAAAUCAAAAUAAUUUUGACUUAAUUAUUUCUUUCAACUCAAAUACUCAUUAAAUUUCUACCUUUUUAUUUAAGCAAGAGAGUUGCUCAAAAAAUGGAUACGUAACCAUGUUGUAUCAUACAAAGCAACCACAUUUCACAUAUAGUCUGGCUUAGCAAACACCAUUGUUGUCUUAACAUAGUGUUCAUGAGUUAGUAGACAUGGAUCUAUUUCUAAUUGCAAGUAGUGCAGCGUACAACCAGCCUGCACCGCCGCAGCUCAAUAUGCGAUAAUUUUUUAUCUUCCCAUGUAAUUUUUCUACUCUAGUACAUAUUGAACUCCACAUAAAUGUCAUGUUCUUUCACGCCACAGACGGUUUCUAAAGUUUGGAACUAAAUAGAUAGCCAAAAAUUUUAAAAAAAUAUUUAUAUGGAUACAUGUAUGUUCUUUGCAAACUAACAAUAUUGUUUACAAUAUCAAAAGGAAUAUGGCUAUGAUCAUUGCCGCAUAUGGCAGGUGAUGGUAGAUGCCGUAUGGGGUUUCUUUAACUUAAUUGUAUAAUAAGCUGAAAUACAUUUUCUAUUUGCAAAUGAAUCAUAGCUGAAAGUGGUGGGAUUGUAGAACCGCCGGCCAUCGUGUCCUUGUAGGACCGCUGCACGAGCCUGUGAGCCACCAGCCACCAUGCGCCCAAGGGCCAUCACCACGCCAUAAGAGGAUGCUGUCUACCCGGUUUCGCGCGCCUGUGCUAGCUGCCUGAACCUGGGCCGCCGCCGGUCGCCUGCCCAGCCGCGCGUUGCGCCAGGGUUUUGCUGGUGACGACCAUGGCCUUCGCGAUCAAAUUAAAAAGUUAUCAACUGCAAAGUAUUAGGUCUCGUUGAGCUCUACAAUUUUGAUAUAAAGUUUCUAUUCAUCCGAGAUCAAAUAAAAAAUUUGAUACUCAAAGCAUAAAUCCAUUAAUCUAGUCUUGCUAAUCCUUACCACCAAAUAAAAAACUAGCAUGUGUUGUGUGUUUGUGACCCUAAACGAUCACAAAUGAAUAACUUAUGGGCCUUGCUAGCGCCCGGAUGUCCAGGCCGGGGCACUAGCAUCAGACCCACGAGUAGCCGUCCGAUCAGGUUCGACACCACUUCAGGAUCUGGCUUAAAAAGAAGUCCCACCGAAACAUUGUUCCAUGUUGCAUGAAGCAACCCACUACCGUCGCCAGGUCUAGAGCAAGCACCACCUUCAAAUGUGCUGCUCACCCUAGCUAAAUAGGGGCAUUAAAAUAUUUCUCGCAUAUCCUUCUCAAAUUAAACAAAAUCGCAACAUCUGAAAAUUUUUACAGAAAACCAUGAAACAUAUCGAUUAGAUAGAUGUAACAAGAUGGAAUAUGGUAUAUGCAACAUAUAGGUUCCGAAAAGCAGAUGAAAUAUUAUGUAAUGAUUCUUGAAACAGUCAAGAAAAAUAGAUGUAACAUCUAAAAUUAAGAAAAGAAGCUUUAUGCAAAUUGCAAAAAGCUGAAACAAGUGGUUGAAACAUUUCAAAUCACCAAAUGCCACAUUUGAAAUGACCAGAUGAAACAUCACGAAAUCAAUUGCAACAGUUGAAGAUGAAAACAUUCAAAUGCCUUGCCUUUCUCCAAAUUUGACCCUCCAAGCAUGAGUCCAGCCAUUUGCACAUUAGACCCUUGGGAGGAGCUCACCGGAGAACAACAAGACCGUGUUAUCCAACAAUUUUCAGAUCAAAUUGCAACAUAAAGAACAAAGCAUUGCAACAUCUGGCAUCACGAGCUACAACAGCAACCAGUUAGGAUCAGGAGAAAGAGGGCAAACACAAGCCUAACAAUGAGUUAUAUCCGGUUUAAACAAGGAUAAAAAUGAGUGUAUUUUACACUCAUCAUGUUGUCUUUUCGCAGCUGUACCGCCUUUAGCGUGUUGUAUUGUUCCUAACACCAAGUCUCCGAGGCCCGAAAAAAUAAGGAAAGUGGUAGCAGCUCAGAAAUCGACUAAGUUUCUUUCCCCCUUUGGCUUUCCUACUAGGAUUCGGAAUCCUCUUUCGUAUGACAAUCUUAAUGAUCUCCCAUAGUCCAAAACUCACAAAAACAUCAAAAAUCCACCGAGAAUAAAUUAAGUAAAAAAACAUGCACACACAGAUAAUAAUAGUAAUCAUGUUUCAUUAUGAUUGCUAAGGUCAGACACAAUACAUAAACAUAUUAGACUGAGUGACCCACCUCACCUCAGAGUAUGCACCAUGUCUGAGUGACCCACCUCACCUUGCCAGGACACUGGUCCUGCCCUCGUGGUUCACGCGCCCUCGUGGUUCAGCAGUGGUCAGUACACAAAUCUAGCUGCCAGUCGGAUCCAAGGGCAGGCAUUUGCAUUGUGGUUGUGUUUGAACAUGGAGAUGUCAUUAUUAUUGUCAGGCACCAUACAUCCUCUCUCAGUUUCACUCCGCCUCACACACGGAUAGCACACCAGGGACCCGACACCAUGCAUGCCGAUUUCAUAUUAUUAAUAUUUAAUUUUUUUAAUGGUUGUUGAAACUAUAUUGUUGAUAUUUUUAUACAUAAUUUACGACCUAAUUUGGAUAUAUUUUUGAAAUAUUCCGAAAUCUUAAAUUCACACGUCUAGAGAUACAGUUAGUCCAAUCUGAUGUUUCCGAUUAUAAAAAUGAACAUAAAGAGAUAGGAAGCGAGAGACGUGAGGGGGAAAGUUAAAUUAGGGCCUAAGGGGUGAAGUUAGGGUUCCAGGUGAGCUGUCAUCACUACGUGUUUUUAAUCGAAAUUGGAAUGUCAGCAAUCGUCAGAUCUUGAGCCAACAGUUGAGACUGCCUCGGAAUGGUAAUUAGGUCUGCGCGAGCUUGCAUUGUGGCCUUCCUUGAAACCUUGGACAUAGGUGUUAUAUUAUUAUGUUCUUGCCAGCACACAGCAGUGAAGGACGACACAGUUGAGAUGUGCAUCACAUUUUCUAUAUGAAGGAUAUGUUUAGCAAACCUAAGAUUUUAGAAUAAAAAGAAAAAUCAUGGGAGCCAAAGCGCCACAUAGUUCUUCCAGGUAAAAAAAAAUCAUCCACUGGACCAGCACAUAGUAACGAUCCAAAAAGUCCAUAUUAAGAUUUUUUGAUAGCAGAAAAAACAUAAAAUGUCUAAUAUUUGUAGUAUUAAAAGGAAAAAUAAUAUAUUCACGUGACCUUUUUCCCGUAGCAAGGCACCGGUACGUGGUCAGACUUAAUGCACGAUGCCUAAGCAUCCAUUGGGCCUACCCUCGUGUGGAUCACGCGCAACAGGACACGGCUCACAAGCUAUGAUGUGCAGCAGUCGCUCAGAUGGCUGAAAGGUACCCUUAAUUUGAAUGGUACCAUAUAUAUAUAUAUAUAUAUAUAUAUAGUAAACAAGACAAACCACCGUUGAUACUACUUUGCACUACUUGAUACAUAUAUCUCCACCAAAAGCGAGGCACGUGGGGAGGAGAGAUAUGUGGUUGAUGGUGCGGGCACGUGGCGAGUGCACCGUACGAAAAUUUUGCUCGUGUCGGACGACUGAUGUGAAGCAUUACCCAAUCUUAAUUAUCUCCCAUAAUCCAAAACUCACAAAAACAUCAAAAAUCCGCCGAGAAUAAAUUAAGUAAACCAUGCACACACAGAUAAUAAAAUUGCUAAUAAGGCCAGAGACAAUACAUAAACAUAUUAGACUGUUCAUGACACAUAUCACGGUGGAUAGUGUCUGUGUCCUUAUUACAAGCAAUGAGAGAUGCUUGUCACCACACACACGCGCACAGAUGCACAACAUACAUAUAGUUGAGACCAACAGAUGGAUCAACUAGAGGUCACCCCAUAUGGUGAACAAUUUAUUGGAGAUAAACAUUAACAUAACUUGGCCAUAGCUUGAAGCAUAGCAACAUAUGCCUAUGAACGGCGUUCAUGCUAUCAUUUUAGGCUUGUCCGCUUCUUCCAUCUUAGCAAGCACUUCCAUUUCUACCAUCUUAGAAGCAACUGUCAAAUUGAGAUAUGGAAAUCCCAUUAGCGCAUGAGUUAAUUUUGCAGUGAAAAUAGAGUACAAGAUAUCUUCAUGAUGUAAGUAACAUGCCUGAAGUUGUGAGAUGGGAAGUGAAGUCAACAAAUUACAUUAACGGAAAUGCAUGGAAGGCCACACAUACGUAUUAGUCCAUGAUAUGCUACAAAGCUUGUAUGUACAUAUAGCAAAUUAAAUGCAUUAAUUGAAUAGAGUGAGUUUAGUGAAUUUACCAGAAUCGUCCAGAAAACAUGGGAAACAGCAAGUGUUCUUGCAGACUGCGUCGGUGCCACCCACAGCAAUACAACCAAAACAACAUGCUUUUGCCCGAGCGGCUGCGCAGCAGCCGCACUCUGCCGCGGUGGCCGAGUUAGCAUUGAGGCUCAAGAUGACCAGGCACAUGAUCACCAUCAAAGCGGUGGUAGUCCUCUUUCCCUCCAUUGCCUCCUCUUGCUGCUACCUUCCUUGGUUACCUAGCUAAGUUUAUUGGUUUUGUGUUGAGAGGUGAUUCUUGCAUUGAAUGGACGUUGCCGCGGCUGCAAUUUAUAGGCAGCUGCGCUAUGUGAUGAUAUGGACAAGGUGCAAAUGGGUGGUCCUGAUAUGGAUAAGGUGCAUGCGAAUGGCUGUCUACUUGUAUAGUGGCGCUCCAAUGUACAUACGUAUGUAUCUUAUGCAUGUAUACAGUUGAUGGAUGUACAUGUUUGUUGCACAAAUUAUUCUGAACCAACUCUUCAUAACAGGUCUUUGUUACCAAGUAAUUUUACUUUUGCACGUUUCAGCCGAGAGGCAGAAGAGAAUAUUUUACAGAGAGGGCAGAGAAGGAGGUUGGCGGAGGCGCCGUGGUAGGGUUCCCCGUGUCGCCAAGAUUUUUGCAUUUUAGAUGUGUGUAUUGAUCACUUCGUCGUGCUCGCGGGGCCCAACUCCAGGUUGUACCCCAGCAGACCACGUUCUGUUUCUCUGCCUCCAAUGAGCAUGCAUGCCUCCACAAGGACCACAAGACUUAGUAAAAAAGCUAAACUUUGCAACACGAUGUAUACAGAACGUUUUGAAAUGUACUCUCGUUAGGCAUUCACCUCCUUAACAAUCACUGCGACUGUAAAAGAGGUACAUCGACGCUAGCUAAAUAAACCACUAUAAGAUUUAGCAAGAGAUCAUUUUAUACAAUCCUGUAACGAAACAAUUUGACAAUUAUAGUGUCCAUAUAUUUUGACAAAAAAACGUUUAAAUUAUAUAAGGAGGUGGGCCCGAAAACGGUUGGAUUACAUCGAGAACGUUUUGAAACAGUUGGCGGAGCAGGAUUCUGGCGUGGAGCAUCUACAUUGUCGCGCGCGCGGACUGCCGGAGUAGGCACGCUCGACUUGUCCCAUCGCCAGCUAAAUGAUUUAGUACCGGAUGGUCUCUAGUACCGGUUGGAGCUACCGUCCACCAGGAGCUUUUCUAGUUUGGAACUGGUACUAAUGCUAAUAUUAGUAUCAGGUCAAAAACAAUCGGUACUAAGGCUAGGGAUGACACGUCAUUUUUCUAGUAGUGUGUGCAAUUGGUUUUGUAAUUAGUCUAUAUUUAAUACUUCUAAUUAGUAUCUACACAUUUUAUGUGACAGGGACUGAACUUUAGUCCGUGGAACCAAACACCCCAUAAGUAUGUUUGGUGCUGUAAGGAUUUCGGUUUUAUUUAAUUUCCUAGGCAUUUAAAUUUCUUUCUAAAAUAAGUUAAUGAAUCAUAGGAUCUCAUUGUUGUAUUCAAGCUGGUGCAUUGAUUUUGCCUAUAAAACCCGCCGCGGUCUUCGCAGCCCCCAUCAAACCCUAGCGCCCUUGCCACAAGCUCAGCACCGCUGCCGCCCGAGCUCGAGCACUAGCACCCACCCAUCGCCGUUGCCUUCCCGUCGAUGGGAUCACCGCCCGGAGCUUCGCAUCGUGGUAAGGAAGCCGCCCGUGAAGAUCCCAUGUGCUCCUAUGCCCUCUACCGCGUCCCCGAGUUCCCGGAGUUGCUAGUCUCCCACCGAGCCGACUCUCCGAGCUUCACGUCACUGGUGCCGCUCCGAAGACCUAGUUCGGUUCGCCAUGCACCUCGCUUCAUCCUGAGCUAAACCCCAUAAUGAAUGGUGGUCGGAUGCUCGCCGCCACGGCGCGUCGUCUUUUCUGUCGCCCGUGCAUUGCCUAUCCCCUUCCAGCCGAUUGCAGCUGUCCGAUCGCAAACCGGUGGCCCUGAUCGGAUACCAAGGUCAAUACCGGUCGAACCGAGCCGUGCGCUGCUUUUGCAAGAAGGCCCCUGUUUUUCUCUCUUUUUGCACCUGAGGUCCUACGCAGUUCAAAAGUAAUAAGAUCUAGGUCCUUUUUCUUUUGUUUUAGCCCGUGUUCUUUUAUAAAAUCCCGCCCACUAUUCUGUUUGGUCUUUUGACGCGUUAGACCUUCUUUUUAUAUGUUUAAUUAGGUUUUAGGUCUCGAUUUCUUUAAGUUUAGCCCUUGAAAGUUUAGUUCUCUCGCAGUUAAGCCCCUGAACCUUGUUUAGCUCAUAUCUUAAGCGUUUUAAAUCCGUUUUAACAGAUUCUUGCGCCUAUAAGUUCAUGUUGACGCAUAGAUUAGUUGACUUAUACGAACCUUGCUGAUUCAGCUCCUUGAUUGUGCUUCAGAUCUCGCUAGGGAAGAAUAAUGGAUGGGCUUUGGUUGAGCUUGUAGAUCGACUUGCAGUUGCAGUGAAUGAGCAGAGGAUUGGCAGUGAAUAAGAUCAGGCCGCUGCCCUGCUUGGUAGGGAAAAUAUCUGCUUGCUACCAAGGCCUGUGACGCAUGGACCCCAUUGAGAGUGCAUUAUUGACAAGGACUUAAAGCCAAGGGCUCCACACCUGUCAUUGAUCAGCUGUCUGCUGGGCGCUGCAAGGAGGUAGUGCAUGUUUGACAUAAAGAAGCAGGUGGCCCAGGAUUUACGAAAAAUAAGGAUCUAUUUGAUACCCUUGCUUAUAUUUAGGGGCUAAAAGUUGCUUAUUUGAAGUUGCUUAUUUUUAAUCCUAGCUGUUUGAUUGCAUGGGCUAAAGAGCAUUGAAUGAGGUGGAUAUUGUCAUGUUUGCCUCUAAUGAUUGCUUCCCAUCACAUUUCUCCCCCCUCAUUCAACGAGGGAAGGAGGUGUAAAGUGCACCUUUUAGCCCCGAUAAGUAACCCUUGUGUUGUUUACGGGCUGAACAUAAGUAGCUAAAGUUUAGCUCCAAUAAACAAGAGUGUUUGGUAUUUUUGGGGUUAAAAGGGGCUAAACUUUAGCUGCUUAUGCAUAAGCAAGGCCAUCCAAAUAGGCCCUAAGUAUGUUUGGCGUUGUAAGUAGGUUUUAUUUAAUUUCCUAGGCAUUUAAAUUUCUUUCUAAAAUAAGUUAAUGAAUCAUAGGAGUUCAUUGUUGCAUUCACGCUGGUGCAUUGAUUUUGCCUACAAAACCUGCUGCCGUUUCCGCAGCUCCCAUCAAACCCUAGCACCCCCGCCACGAGCUCCAGCGCCGCUGCCGCCCGAGCUUGAGCACUAGCGCACACCCAUCGCCGUCGCCUUCCUAUCAAUGGGAUCACCGCCCGGAGCCCGUGUCAUGGUAAAGAAGCCGCCCGUGAAGAUCCCGUCCACUCUCGUGCCCUCUACCGCGUCCUCGAGUUCACCGGAGUUGCCAGUCUGCCACCCAGCCGCCUCUCCGAGCUUCAUGUUGUCGUUGCCACUCUAGCUGCCUCUCUGAAGACCUAGAUCGGUUUGCCGUGCACCCCGCUUCAUCCUGAGUUAAACCCCAUCAUGCCACGUCAUAGUAAGGAAGCUGCUCAUGAAGAUCCCGUGCGCUCCCGUGCCCUCUACCGCGUCCCCAAGUUCACUGGAGUUGCUAGUCCACCACCGAGCCGCCUCUCCGAGCUUCACUUCACAGUCGCUGCUCCAGCCACCACUCUGAAGACCUAGAUCAGUUCGCUGUGCACCCCACCUCAUCCUGAGCUAAACCCCAUGACGAACUGUGGUCGGAUGCUCAUUUUCGAGUGAAUUCCGGCGAGAUGGUCGCCCGCCGCCGCCAUCUCCAUCGCCCAUGCACCGCCUGUCCCCUUCCAGCCGAUGUCCGAUUGCAAACCGAUAGCCGAAAUCGGAUGUGGUCACCAGGAUUAAUACCAGUCAAACUAAGCCACGCGUGCCGCUUUUGCAAGAAGGCCCCUAUUUUUCCCUCUUUUUGCACUUGAGGUCCUAUGCAGUUCAAAAGUAAUUAGAUCAAGGUCCUUUUUCUUAUGUUUUAGCCCUAUUCUUUCAUAAAAUCCCGGCUGCCAUCCUGUUUGAAAUAGAUACGGUUAUAGAUAUGCAAACAUCUGCAUAUUUCCAACCGUAUCUCUUUCGAACGGGAGACGCCUAACUAGGUUACGUGACAUACGAACAUCAUACGGAUAGAGAGGGGUAGGAUGUCUCACCUUGCUAUCCUACAAAGUGACGACUCGAGGACAGUAAUGUAGCCUCUCCUUCAAAAAAAGAACAUACUACUAUCAAGUUAAAUUUUUGACAGCACCUCCCCUGCACGUGGAGGUUUCCAUAACCUGCAUCAAAUAAAACGGCACGAUGGCUGACAACCACAUCUACAGCACCAGAAUGGCACGAUGGCCGACUUCCACAUAAAGUUCUUAUACCUUAGAUUGCCAAGUCAAACAUCCUUUUCUAAUUUCUAAAACAAAAGCCCUCCCACCUCUCUAUCUUAUACUUUCCUAUUUACUAAUUGCUUUUGUAAUUUCUAAUUUCUAUUUCAUCCUACCACCUCUGUACCCUUUUCUCAUUUCUAAUUCCAAUUUUCUAACUUGAAGAGCAAAGAUUGAUUACUAGGAGGGGUGAGGGACGCCGGCCUAGAGAGGCGAGGGGACGUCCGGCGGCGGCGGGUGCGUCGGGGGUAGGAUGCCAGGGGCGGCUGCAGGGGCGCCGGGUUGGGGGCGGCCGGGAUCGAGGGCACCAGUAGCGGGGGCACCGGGCCGGGGGCGGCCGGCGGGGCGGGACGCCAGGGCCGGGGCGACGGGCGCCGGUGGCGAGGCCGCCCGGCCGGUGGUGGCCGGCGUGGCGCCUGGGCCGGGGGGGGGGGGCGGGCGGGGUGCGGCGCGGCGCGCCGGGGCAGGGCGCCGAGGCUGGGUGGUGGGGUACGGGGCGGCGGGCGGGGGGUGGGGGGAGGGUCGGCGGCGGGGCGCGGGGGCGGCCAGCGGCGACGGCGGAGGGCGUCGGUGGUGUUUCGGAAGUGAUACGGAGGGGGUAGAGAGAUUCGUUUUCGCGGCUGAGUGUUCGAGUCAGAAGGCCGUGCGGCUUAAGUCAGGUGGUUUGCCGAGUGCGCGCGAUCUGGCACUCGGCAAAGUCAGAAGUUUUGCCGAGUGUCAGAUCGCGGGCACUCGGCAACUGCAGCUUUUGUCGAGUGCCCUGGAUUCGGCACUCGGCAAAGUGAAGUUUUAAUUUUUUUUAAAAAAAUUUAAUCGGAACACGGGCGUGCCAGCGGGCCCGUGACAUACUUUGCCGAGUGUGUAGCAAAAACACUCGGCAAAAUAUUAUCUUUACCGAGUGUUUUCGCUAGGCACUCGGCAAAGUACACUUAUAUUUCAUGUACACUUUUUCAAUAACGUGUUUUACUAACCUUUUUCUGAUAUACUUGGGAAAAACCUUAUCAAAUUCACUCAACAAUGGAUAUAUGGUUUUUCUACUGACAUUAUUCCAUUAUUUCAUUCAGUUAUAGCUCAAAUUGAAUUUAUAUCUAUUAAAAAUCAAUAAUUGCAUUUAAUAAAUAAAAAAUACCAAACGGAUCUGAAAAAUUUCCAAAAUUUGACAUGAACCAAUCUAUGUUGUAUGUUGCCUGUACAAAAAGCUUUGAAGUCAAACCCCAAUUCAAGUGUCACUUGGACUCCAAAUCUUAUCGGAUCCUUUCUAACUUCUAUGAAUCCUUUCGGGAGAUGAGUCGGUUUGUAAGCAUCAUAUGUCAUAAAUUGGGCGAAACCUUCUCAAUUUUUUACCACAGCCUCCACAUAUAAUAUCAUGACACCUUGACAAAUCUUGUGAUUUUCAGACUUCGUUUGCUUUUUUUAGAAUUUAACAACCAUUCAACCACAUGUUCGUGAUCGUGUUUUCUAAAAAAAUGUUCAAAAUUUCUUUUCAUUUCCUGGUUGAGACCUCAAUCCGGAUUGAAUAAUAUGAAUAUGAUUUUUUCACUGAUUUUAAUCCAUUAUUUAAAUCACUUGCAGUUAAAUUUGACUUAAAUAAACAAAUUCCUAUUAAUGCUAUCAAUUCAUUAAAAAUAGCAAACAGAGAAAAAAUAGACCAACUUUUAAGAUGGAUUACCAAAUGUCAUAUGUGGGGAGUAGAAAAAGUGUGGAGAGCAGAGGUGGAAAAAAAAGUUUUGCCUUUGCCAAGUGCCUACACAAACACUCAACAAACUUUGCGGAGUGCCUAUUGAAAACACUCAGCGAACUUCUGAGUUUGCCGAGUGUCUGGAGGGAGCACUCGGCAACCUACUUAUUUGCCGAGUGUCCGCGUCGGACACUCAGCAAAGUACUAACGGCUGGCACACUCCCCUAACGGACGGCGCACGUGCAAGCCAUGUGCUGGAGAUUUAUCGAGUGUCAAAUCGUUGCCGAGUGUCGUGUGGAUGUUUGCCGAGUGUCUUAUUUGUGACACUCGGCAAAGCUAUUGUUUGCCGAGUGUAUUAUUUAUGCCGAGUGUCUUCCAGUAUACACUCGGCAAAUGAUGUCUUUGCCGAGUGCUCGACAUAAAGCACUCGGCAAAAAUUUUACACUCGGCAACAUUCCUGUUUCCGGUAGUGAGUGACCCGGGACUAAAGACCCCCGUUGUCUCUGAUUGCUUUAUUCCGGAUGGAUUUUCAGGAGAUUUGCUCCCUACCAAUAGGGACUAAAGGCAAGUUUUCCACUUAUAGCAAACCAGUUAGCCCAUUGUUGAUGGAACGCAUCACUAGAAACAGCUCGGGAUCCACUUGUCCAAUAAUCGAGAGGGCCUAUAUAUGGACCACGUGUGCGGAUCCCUAAUUAGGAAAAAAGAAUAAUGGAGUAGGACAUCUCCAUGCUCACCUAGUAGCCGCUGCUAGCUUGUGCGUGUGGAACACGAGUGCCGGCCCAGUUGGCGCUAAGACAUCGUACGUGCAUUAAGGCUACGAUCUCUUUCUUCUAACUCAUGCUUGUGCUAUUAUACAUUAUUGCAUGAUCAUCAAGAUAAGAUCGUAUAGUGACUGAGUGAGACAUGUAUGUACUAACAUGCAUUUAAGCCUCGAACUGUGUGUUGUUACGUGAGCUGCCUCCUCACCUCGCCUCUGAAUUAUUGAACCGUUUCCAACAGUGUUGGUCUCAAAUAAAUUUGACACCAAACAGAUUUAUGAAGAAGAGAGAAUAAUACUUGGAAUUGGAAAAAGUUUAUCUCUCUUUACAAUGGAGUAGGGCUCCCUUUUAUAGUGACCCAUAAGCCACUUUACAUUUGGAAAAUGUCCUUCCUCAACCACUACAUUAAUUCCUAGGAUAUGCUGUACAUAAAGGUCAUUUGAGGUAACGUGUACAAAUGAACUCUUCCACAUGGUCACGUUUCUCAUGCCUCCUGUUUUCCAACCUCGAGACAUCAUCUUCACGCCAAGUUGAUCAUCUAGCCUCGAGGCUCCAUCCACGAUCCAGAAUGAACGUCCAGGCUUGAGGCUCCUUCUUCGUUAAGCUUUGUUGAGAACUCAUAACCUCACAUAGUUCUCCUCCGAGUAUUGUUCCCGACUCAGAACACUCGAGGUUUAGCUCAGUUGGAGUUUAGCUAUUACUGUUGCUAGUCACCAGCCUCGAGCCCCUCCAGAAGCAAGGUGAUGCGAGGGUACGAGUUUUACUAUUAAAGGUGUUUCCAUAGAAUGUGCGAGGUUAAAGCACUUGCAGCAAAAGCGUGGAGCUGCUUUCAACCAGAGUGCAAUAAUGCAGCCGUGCCCAUCUUGGUCUUGGUCUCCGCCUGAACUAUAGCAGAUGCUGGCAGCGGUAGCAGGGUGGUCCAUUAUAUCUAUGGAUGGCAAUGGUCGGAUUCGGAUGGAAUCGAAUUCGAAUAGCACUUUUUACCACAUACUAAUUCAAAUCCGAAUUCGGAUUCGGAUGUUCUCGAAUGCGAAUGCAAAAUGGAUGGUUCGAAUUCGAAUACUUAGCGGAUUUUUGCAUAAUAUUAAUCGAAUAGAAUUCAUUAAAUUUAGCCAAGAAAUUAAAUUUUCUGAAAUUAAAUACUUUCCCUUCGCCCCAGCGGCGGCCUAACUCCCAGGACGGUGGCGUGCGGGGCCCGAGCAUCCCUGGCCUCUAGUGGCGUGGCGGGGCGGCAUCCAGCAGCAGCGGCGGGGCUCGGCCUCCGGUGGCGCGCGGCCAGCCCGACCUACCCGGUCAGAGGUGGCGCAGCGGUGCGCGGGCCUCCCCGACCAGAGCCGGUGGGGAGCGGUGCGCGGGGAGGACCUCCCCAGCCGGAGGUAGCAGGGCGCGACCUCCCCGGCCGGAGGUGGCUCCCUGUGGGGGCGCGGCCGUGACAGCUAGCGAGGCAAUAAUUGCUUCCGUACGCAGCAAUAAUUGCUUGUGCGACACCGUGUUAUUACUCUGGUACAGUACUCCCUCCGUUGCAGUACACUGGUCCAGGCGUCAGGACACUGCUCCUGCCCUCGUGGUUCACGUGCAUCAGGCCAGCAGACAAGCUAUGAUGUUGCCAACAGUGUUUGUUUGAACAUGGAGAUGUCAUUGUGAUUGUCAGGGACCCGACACCAUGCAUGCCGAUUUCAUAUUCUUAAUAUUUAUUUUUUUAAUGGUUGUUGAAACUAUAUAGUUACUCCAAUAUCACGUUUCCGAUUAUAAAAAUUAACAUAAAGAGAUCGGAAGGGAGAGCCCGCAUAAUGAAGCCGACGCGUAUAAUAAGCACUAGAGCCGGCAUUUAUACAAACGGGUACGCAUAGUAAAAACUAGAAUUUAUAAAUAAAUGAAGAUAUUCAAAUAUCUGGCUUACUUUUUUCAUUAAUUUUGCAUGAAUAAGGGAUGAUUCAUUAAUCAUUAUUGAACAAAUUGGCACACAUGCUUCGUGCCCGCGUUGUGAGCAUUAUGCGAUGCCACUGAGCUGCACCACCACGGUAGAGGGCCUGUUUGCGAUGCCACCGAGCUGCACCACCACGGCAGAGGGUCUGUUUGGGAAGGGGAAGUUAAAGUUUAACACCCCCCAUUUAACACCUUUUUAACAAAAUGGCUGCUAAACACUUGUGUUAAAAGAGUAGUGUUAAAAUUUAACACCUCUCUUUUCAUAAACACAUGGAGGGGGUGUUAAAAUUUGCUAAAUGUGUUAAAAGUGGUCCCCUCCCCACUUAUUCCUUGGUUGCCCCCCUCUCUCUCCUCCUCUCUCUCCUACCCGCCGCAUUUAAGAGCAUUAUUGAGGGGUAAUGCAGUCCUUUUCCAACAAAAGUGUUAAACUUUAACAACCCUUCCCAAACAUGCCACAAGCAACACCACCGGCUGACUGUGCUAGCGGGGAGCACCCUCACCGCCUGCCCGUGGGGACUUCUUCUGCCGGCCAUCGUGUCUUUGUAGGACCGCCGCGUGAGCCUAUGAGCCACCGGUGGCCGUGCGCCCAAGGGCCAUCACCAUGCCACCUGAGGAUGCUGUCUACCCGGUGCCGCGUGCCUCUGCUAGCUGCUUGCACCUGGGCCGCCGCUGGUCGCCUGCACAGCCACGCGUUACAGCCGCCCCCCUGCGCUGGGCCACCCCAUUUCGUGUUGGAAGAACUGCCACAGUCUCGCGCACUGGGGUUUUGCUAGUGACGACCAUAGCCUCCAAGAUCAAAUGAAAAAGUUGGUACUCAAAACAUACAUCCAUUAAUCUAGUCGUGCUAAUCCUUACCACCAAAUAAAAACUAGCAUGUGUUGUGUUUUUGUGACCCUAAACGAUCACAAAUGAAUAACUUAUGGGCGUUGCUAGCCUAUAAGUUAUGGGCGUUUGUGACCCUAGUCGCGCCGGGGUCUUGCUGGUGACAACCAUGGUCUUCGCGAUAAAGUAUUAAGUCUCAUCGAGUUCUACAAUUUUGAUAUAAAAUUUCUAUUCAUCCGAGAUCAAAUGAAAAACAAAUGAAAAAAUCCGAAGUAUUAGGCUUCAUCGAGCUCUACAAUUUUGAUAUAAAAUUUCUAUUCAUCCGAGAUCAAAUGAAAAAAUCCGAGAUCAAAUGAAAAGUUGGAACUCAAAACAUACAUCCAUUAAUCUUGAUAUAAAAUUUCUAUUCAUCCGACAUCAAAUGAAAAAGUUGGUACUCAAAAUAUACAUCCUUUAAUCUAGUCGUGCUAAUCCUUACCACCAAAUAAAAAAACUAGCAUGUGUUGUGUGUUUCUGACCGUAAACGAUCACAAAUGAAUAACUUAUGGGUGUUGCUAGCGUCCCGGACGCUAGCAUCGGACGCAUGAGCAGCCGUCCGAUCGGGUCCGACACCACUUCACGAUCUGUCUUAAAAAAAAGUCCCACCGAAACAUUGUUCCAUGUUGCAUGAAAUACCCCACUAUCCAUCGCCAGGUCUACAGCAAGCACCACCUUCCAAUCUGCUGCUCACCCAAGCUAAAUAGGGGCAUUAAAAUUGCAGAAAUAUGUCACAUAUCCUUGUCAAAUUAAACUAAAUCGCAACAUCCGAAAAUUUCUUACACAAAACCAUGAAACAUAUCGAUUAGAUAGGUGUAACAAGAUGGAAUAUGGUAUCCAACAUAUAGAUUCCGAAAAACAGAUGAAACAUUAUGUAACGAUUGUUGAAACAGUCGAGAAAUAUAGAUGUAACGAUUAAAAUUUAGAAAAGAAGCUUUAUGCAAAUUGCAAAAAGCUGAAAUAAGUGGUUGAAACAUUUCGAAUCACCAAAUGCCACAUUUGAAAUGGCUACAUGAAACAUCACGAAAUCAAUUGCAACAGUUGAAGAUGAAAACAUUCAAAUGCCUUGCCUUUCUCCAGAUUUGACCCUCCAAGCAUGAGUCCAGCCAUUUGCACAUUAGACCCUUGGGAGGAGCUCACCGGAGAACAACAAGACCGUGUUCUCCAACAAUUUUCUGAUCAAAUUGCAACAGACAAAACAAAGCAUUGCAACAUCUGGCAUCACGAGCUACAACAUCAACAAGUUAGGAUCAGGAGAAAGAGGGAAAACACAAGCCUAACAACCCCAAGACAAAACUGAUGUACUCAUCAUACAUCACGGCUUGCCGUGCACAGAGAUGAAGGCCGCCAAGCUCAAUCGAGACAGAGACGACGUGAUAGUGCUCCAGAUCGACGGUCCCCAUCAAUUGUUGCGUACACUGCCAAAAGCAAUGGAAGAAGAAGGGUCGUCCCUGCUCGACCUCCGUAGAUGAGCGCAGAUUGGGGGAAACCGUAUAGAGUGCCGCUGACAGCACAGGCGAGGGGGCUCAGGCUUGAUUCAGGGUGAGGGUAGCGGGUAGCAUGAGGAGACAGUCAGGUUUCAUAGGAGAGAGGCGGAGUAGAGAGCUCUGGUGACUCGGUGAGGAGGGUGCGGCACGGAGAAAGGUGUGUAGCUGAAGGAGCUACAUGGUUGGGGCGAGGCGAGCGUAGAGACUAGAGAGGGAAAAAAAGCAUGGGGAGGAGACGAUAUGUGGUUGAUGGUGCGGGCACGUGGUGAGCGCACCGUAUGAAAAUUUUGCUCGCGUCGGAUGACUGAUGUGAAGCAUUACCCAAUCUUAAUUAUCUCCCAUAAUCCAAAACUCACAAAAACAUCAAAAAUCCGCCGAGAAUAAAUUAAGUAAACCAUGCACACACAGAUAAUAAAAUUGCUAAUAAGGCCAGAGAUAAUACAUGAACAUAUUAGACUGUUCAUGACACAUAUCACGGUGGAUAGUGUCUGUGUCCUUAUUACAAGCAAUGAGAGAUGCUUGUCACCACACACACGCGCACAGAUGCAUGACAUACAUAUAGUUGAGACCAACAGAUGGAUCAACUAGAGGUCACCCCAUAUGGUGAACAAUUUAUUGGAGAUAAACAUUAACAUAACUUGGCCAUAGCUUGAAGCAUAGCAACAUAUGCCUAUGAAUGGCGUUCAUGCUAUCGUUUUAGGCUUGUCCAGCUUCUUUCAUCUUAGCAAGCACUUCCAUUUCUACCAUCUUAGCAGCAACUGUCAAAUUGAGAUAUGGAAAUCCCAUUAGCGCAUGAUUAAUUUUGCAGUGGAAAUAGAGUGCAAGAUAUCUUCAUGAUGUAAAUAACAUGCCUGAAGUUGUGAGAUGGGAAGUGAAGUCAACAAAUUACAUUAACGGAAAUGCAUGGAAGGCCACACAUACGUAUUAGUCCAUAAUACGCUACAAAGCUUGUAUGUACAUAUAGCAAAUUAAAUGCAUUAAUUGAAUAGAGUGAGUUUAGUGAAUUUACCAGAAUCGUCCAGAAAACAUGGGAAACAGCAAGUGUGCUUGCAGACUGUGUCGGAGCCACCCACACGAAUACAAAGCUGACAACAUGCUUGUGCCUCGUGGGAUACGCAGCAGCCGCACUGUGCCGCGGUGGCCGAGUUAACAUUGAGGCUCAAGAUGAACAGGCACAUGAUCACCAUCAAAGUGGUAGUCCUCUUUCCCUCCAUUGCCUCCUGUCGCUGCUACCUUCCUUGGUUACUAGUAAGUUUAUUGGUUUUGUGUUGAGAGGUGAUUCUUGCAUUGAAUGGACGUUGCCGCGGCUGCAAUUUAUAGGCAGCUGCGCUAUGUGAUGAUAUGGACAAGGUGCAAAUGGGUGGUCCUGAUAUGCAGGAGCGGAUCUAGGGCCCAGGCAGUUUAAAUUAAAGUCUCCUCAUAGGCAGUUUGACUAUGAUCAAUUUUACCUGUAUUUCUCAAUAUGUAGAUAAUUCUAUGCCAACAAUUAAAAACUAAUACAUAAUUUGACACGGUGUACCUCGAGAACGUUUUGAAAAUGUACUCUCUCGUUAGGCGUUCACCUCCUUAACAAUAACUGCGACUGUAAAAUAGGUACAUCGACGCUAGCUAAAUAAACCACUAUAAGAUUUAGCAAGAGAUCAUUUUAUACAAUCCUGUAACGAAAGAAUUUGACAAUUGUAGUGUCCAUAUAUUUUGACAAAAAACGUCUAAAUUAUAUAAGGAGGUGGGCCCGAAACAGUUGCAUUAGCAUAUGGUUACCCGUUUGUUGUCUUCCGGUCCUAAAAAAAGGACCAUCUUACUUAAAAAGGUUCUAUUAGGCCAUGCAGCCGGCUCUGUGGCACCAAAAAGAAAUUUUGACACGGUUUACAUCGAGAACGUUUUGAAACUAGACUUUGGUAAGCAGUUCAUCACCUGCUUAACAAUAACGGCGUACAUAGACGCUAUCUAAAUUAACCACUAUAAGAUUUAGCGAGAGAUCUAUUUUUUAUAAUUGCGUAUACCACUUUACGAGAGAGACGUCAAGAGCAUGAUGGUACACUUUGUAUAUAUCUUUGAAUUCCAGCUACGGGACUUUCUUGCCUUCGCCGAAAAAAUCUAUCGGUUUUAUCUUAAGGCCGAACAUCUCCCUCUCGUCAGCGAACUUCUUCAUGUACCAUUUAUGGAAUUUGUAUAUCAAAGCUUCCCUACCAACUCAGGCCUUACUGGAGAUUUGCCUAGCUCAAAGGUCCAUUUCAGUUCAACUAGCGGUCCAGCUGGCAGCUCAACUUGCCCAAGACACUCAGCAAGUCCCAUACCUAUUUCUUCCAUGAAUUUUAUUACUUCUGCUUGUUGAUGCAAGGGCAUUGCUGCUAUCUGUUUAGCGUCGUUUUCUAGUAGAUGCCCGAGGUGGGGGAUAGCACCACUUGAAGACAACUUUCCUUUCCUUUUUUUCCUCUCAUCAACCUUAACUAAUGCCCGUUCGUAGUUCGACAGUAGUGGCACUGACUUCUUGGUUGCUUCUUUCAUCUUUUUUUUAAAAAAAUAAUUCUCUUCGAUCUAUUAGCGGUGGCUCCAUCUCCUUUGCUUUUUUUUCUUCGACCCUUUUCUUGAACCACUCCCUGCAUUCUGCUUGGUUUCGGCCCAGCGUUCCGCUUGAGUCAUUGCCUCUUGGCGUUUCUCAGGAGUCACUUUAGGCUCCUUUAUUUUUUUCUUUCUCUAUCUUGGCUUGGGAGGCAAUGGUCGUGACUUCUUAAGUGGUGCUGCAGUUUCCUUGCUCUAGGCUUCUCUUAGUCCCGAUGACGAUGAUCGGGGAGGAGUGUUGUUGUCCUCGUCGUCGCUCGCACCACCAGGAUGUGGUGGAGAUGGAGACCUUGAUCGAGCAGGAAGCGACGGUCCCUGUGGUGACGACGGUCCUGGAGCAGGUUGUGCUGGAGAUGAUGGUCCUGGAGCAGGCCGUGGUGGAGAUGACGGUCUUGAGCUUUGGGGAGAGGGUCGCUGCUGGGGAUUUGUGGGGAGCAGUCUUGAGCUUUGAGGAGAUGCCUCAAUGCCGGGGAUGAUGAUGUAGCAUUUGUGCCAUAGAAUGAUCCCGUGAAGCGCAUAUCCUAGUGUCCUUUCCCCGUCACCUCCCGGGAGGUCGAGCUCUAGGCCUUCAUAUUGGCUAUCAACGAGCUGCUCUAGGCCGACGCUGGCGUAGCCAGGUGGAAUCUCAAUGCCAUGGCUUGUCUGCCCUGGCAGGAUUGGUAAGGCACUCUCAUACACCACCUGUACAUAUAGCAGAAAUAAAGAAGUUAUUAAACUCCGAUCCCGAGGUGUGGAUGGAUGAUUGAGAAGAUUGCAAAAAUAUCAUGUAUAAGUAUACCUUAAUGGUGAUGUUGUCGACCGAUUUAUGCAGCUCACAUGAGGUGCGUUGCGUGAUGACAUCCAUAGGGAACCGUUGCUCAACCAUGGGUAAUCCUUGCAUUUAUGGAUCGGGGAGCCCUGUGGAAGCACAGCUGCUCCCGAGGUGUUAAGAAGGGCUAGCGACGUUUGGAUCCGACAGUGCUCUAGAUUGGGCUAACUCCGCAACUGCUAGGGCCACUCGACAAUUGAUUUCCUCUUGCAUUCUUACUUCUUGUGAAUGCACUUUGGAUUCUAGCAUGCACCUCAAGGUCUCCUCAACAUGUUCCUUUCUUCGCUUGUGGCUUUGGUACGAAGCGAUGUCACCUUGAAAAGCGAACUUCCACGGAAUGACCCCGUACCCUCGGCAAUGUCUUGGGUGCUCGGGAUUCCCGAGGGCCAAUGUGAGCUCAUGAUUCUCUCGGUCCACCUUCAACCUCCGAGCCUUAGCAUCUUCAAUGUUCUUCAUAAGCCUUUCGGCCUUCUGACGUAUUGUCUCAUUGAAGAUCAAUGUCACAUCCUCUUUGGCUCAGGUUGCCUCCAUGAGCGUAACACCAAUUUUUCGAUUGAUCGGGCCAUUCAAGAGUUGCUGGUAUGAUACUCUGAUCAAUCAGGUUUUGUUCCAUCUUGCACCAUCUGGGAAUUGCUGUGCCCUAACCACCUCACCCUAGACGAUGAUGGUACUCCUUCUUGCCAGCAUUUGCAACGUUGGUCUUGACCUUAUUCGCACCGUCUUCGCUCGUCUUGUGUUCGACAAAUGCCUCCCAGUGGUCCCUCAACUUUUGCCACUCAUCGAAAUCCGGAGUUUAGCCAUUCUUGAUGAAUGUGGCAUCCAGCAUCUUCUUGAAUGUCUGGAAUUGUGUGGCCAUCUUCUUCAGCGUCCACGGUUUCACAUCAUCUUCAUUACAUCCUUCGGGAAAUGUGAAAUGUCUCUUAACAUCUGCCCACAGCAUAUUCUUUUCUGAAUCCGGGAGCGUGUAUGGAUUAGUACUUUUGUCCUUCCAUUCCCUGAUGCUGAUAGGCAGAAGCUAGAGACUAUUUCUUUUUCUAAAAAUACACAUGAGGGAGAAAAUUGGUAACAGCUAAACAGUGCAGAUUGCAUUUCAACACACGUUUUUAUAGCUGAGCACACGUCUGAAUCCCAUUUUUAAGUGUUCGGUCCUACACCCACAUUUUCAUCCCAGGUUGUCGGUUUAGUCAUUUUUUACCUUCCAUGACCUAUAGCACACAUUUUUAUGGUAGAACACGCAUUCAGAGGUCAUUUCCACAUCUUCGGUCCAUCCCCAUAUUUUCAUCCCCGGUGGCCAGUGUGGCUGUUUUCGAACUAACGUGACUUAUAACACACGUUUUCAUAGCCGAACACGUGUCCGAAGGCCAUUUUCAAGUGUCUAGUCUGACACCCACAUUUUUGUCCCCGGUGGCCGGUAUGGCUAUUUUUGUGCUCCCGUCACCUAUAACACACAUUUUCAUGGUCGAACACACGUCCGGAGGCCAUUUUAAGUUGUUCGGUCCAUCCCCACAUUUUUUACCCCGGUGGUCGGUGUGGCCAAUGUUUUCUUGGUCGAACACGCAUCCGGAGGCCAUUUUCACUUGUUCGGUUCGACACUAACAGUUUCAUCCCGGUGGCCGGUGUGGCUAUUUAUCGUUCUCCCAUGACCUAUAACACACAUUUUCAACACUAACACUUUCGGAGGCCAUUUUCAAUUGUUCGGUCUGACACCAAUGUUUUGGUCCCCAGUGGCCGGUGUGGCCGUUUUCAACCUCCCGUGACCUAUAACACACAUUUUCAUAGCUAAACACGCGCCCGGAGGCCAUUUUCAAGUGUUCGGUCUGACACCCACAUUUUCGUCCCCGGUGACCGGUGUAGCUCUUUUUGGCCUUCCAUGACCUAUAGCACACGUUUUCAUGGCCAAACACACGUCUGGAGGCCAUUUUUCACUUGUUUGGUGCAUCCCUAGUUUUUGCUCCAGUGCUAAUGUGGUCGUUUUUAGGCUUCGACCUAUAGCACACAUUUGCAUGGUUGAACACGCGUCCAGACGUCAUUUUCACUUGUUCGGUCCAUCCCCCACGAUUUCAUCCCCGGUGGCCGGUGUGGCCGUUUUUGGGCUCCCAUGACCUAUAACCCACGUUUUCAAGGCCGAACUCGCGUCUGGAGGCCAUUUUCACUUGUUCAGUCCAUCCCACAUGUUCUCGUCCCCGGUGGCCGGUGUGGUCAUUUUCAGGUUCCCGUGACCUAUAAUCCUCGUUUUCAUGGCUGAACACACGUCCGAAGGCCAUUUUCGCUUGUUCAGUCCAUCCCCCAUGUUUUCGUCCCAGGUGGCCAGUGUGGCCGUUUUUGAACUAACGUGACCUAUAACAUACGUUUUCAUAGCCGAACACGUGUCCGAUGUCCAUUUUCAAGUGUUCGGUAUGACACCCAAGUUUUCAUUCCUGAUGGCUGGUGUGGCCAUUUUCGGGCUCCCGUGACCUAUAACACAUAUUUUCAUGGCUGAACAUGCGUCCAAAGGCCAUUUUCAUUUGUUCAGUCCAUCCCCCACGUUUUCAUCACCGGUGGCCGGUGUGGCCAUUUUAGUGAUCCCGUGACCUAUAAAACACGUUUUGAUAGCCGAAGACGUGUUUGCAGGCCAUUUUCAAGUGUUCGGUUUGACACCCACGUUUUCGUCCCCGGUGGCCGGUGUUGCUGUUUUUUGCCUUCCAUGACCUAUACACGUUUUCGUGGCUGAACACGCGUUCGGAGGCUAGUUUCACGUUUUCAUCCCUGACGGCUAGUGUGGCCAUUUUCGGGCUCCCGUGACCUAUAACACACAUUUUCAUGGCCAAACACAAGUCCGGAUGCCAUUUCCAGUUGUUCAGUCCAUCCCCCACAUUUUCAUCCUCGGUGGCCGGUGUGGUAGUUUUUGGCCUCCCGUGACCAACAACACACAUUUUCGUAGCUGAACACAUGUCCGGAGGCUAUUUUCAAGUGUUUGGUCCUACACCCAUCUUUUCAUCCCCGGUGGGUAGUGUAGCCAUUUUUUAUCUUCCGAAACCGAUAGCACACGUUUUCACGAGCAUGGCCUGUGAGGCUUAGCUUCUCGUAACCGUAGGUCAUGGCAGGGUUUGAUCGGUCAGGAGGCUGAAGAGUAAGUUACUUUGGGUAGUCAGUGGAAUGGGAUGCCCUUUCAUUUGGGCGAAGUGUGUGAUCGCACGAAAGUAAAGAGCAGGUGGUACUGCACCCUCGUGGAGCCCCCGAGCGACCCAAGCUAAGAGUGCUCGGGCUGGGGCGCUAUAGGAGCGAGUAUCAAAUGGAAACAACUGGUAAAACCAAGCUAGGGAAAUAAACAAUGUAACUGCUCAAUGUUCCAUGUGUUGGUGAGGAUGUUGCCGUCGUCGUCCUUCAGUCAGUAGGCGCAUGGUCGGAUCACCUCGGUGACUGUGUACAGUCCUUCCCAUGGCGGAGAGAGCUUGUUCUUAUUAUUGGUCGACUAGGUCCUUCGAACCACAAGGUCACCAAUCUCGAGGGUCCUCCCUCGGAUUUUCCUCUCGUGGUACCUACGAAGGGUUUGCUGGUAACGAGCGGAGUGGAUGAUGGCCAUCUCAUGUGGCUCCUCGAGCAGGUCGACUAUGUCCUGCUAAGCUUCUGUAGCUCGGUCUUGGUCGAAGGCCUUUACCCUUAGGGCACCGUAAUCGAGGUCGAACGGUAACACGGCUUUGGCUCCGUACACCAAUAAGAAGGGGGUGAACCCUGUGGAUUGGUUUGGGGUCGUUCUAAGGCUCCAGAUUACCACUGGGAGCUCUGUGACCCAUCACCCGGUGUGCUUUUUUAGCCGGUCGAAAAUGCAAGGCUUGAGCCAUUGGAGGACCAUGCCAUUCGCUUGCUUGACCUGAUCGUUGGUUUGUGGGUGCCCGACCGAGGCCCAGUCGAUCCUAAUGUCGUAUCCAUCAUAGAAAUCCAGGAACUUCUUGCUAGUGAAGUUUGUUUCGUUGUCUGUGAUGAUGCAGUUAGGGACGCUAAACCGAUAGAUGAUGUCAAGGAAGAACUCGACUGCGUCUUGUGACCGGAUGUUGGUGAUGGGCUUCGCCUCAAUCCACUUGGUGAAUUUGUCCACCGCCAUGAGUAGGUGAAUGAUGCCACUCGGGGCCUUUUUAAGGGACCCAACUAUGUCGAGGCCCCAGACCGCGAAUGACCAGAUGAUGGGGAUGGACUAGAGCUCUUGCGUCGGCAGGUGAGUUUUCUGAGCAUAGAACUGGCAGCCUUCACACUUGUGGACCACCUCCUCUACGUCUUGAAAUGUUGUGGGCCAGUAAAAACCUUGGCAAAAGGCUUUCCCGACCAGUGAUCUCAGGGACGCAUGGUGUCCGCAGAUUCUGGCAUGGACAUCAAGAGAAGUUGUUUCCCCUAAUUGGUCGGGAUGCACUUCAUGAGUAUUCCCGAUGGACUUCAUUUGUAACGUUCAUCACCGAUGGCGACAAAUGUCUUGACGCGUCAAGUGAUUCAUCGUGCUUCAAUCCUCUCCAGUGGGAGGACCUCUUCGAGGAUGUAGGCGAGUAACGACGCUCUCCAGUUGGUUGGGUCAUGCACCAUUACGUCAGUGCUUCUAGGUGAGGUCGCCAUAGGGGCAUCAGGGUCGGAGCCCCUGAGCACGCAAUCGGACUGUGACUGGGUUGGGUCCUCUCGGACACGGGCAGAUGGUUCAUGGAGGUCGUUCACGAAGACUCCGUUGGAAGAUGGGCCCCAUCUAGGUGCCAAUUUUGUGAGGAAGUUAGCAACAUCAUUGUCCUUUUGUGGCACAUGAUGUAGCUCGAUCCCUCGGAACUUGUCUUCUAACUUGCAUACAUCUUGACAGUACGCUGCCAUGAGAGGGCUCCUGCAGGAGGACUCCUUCAUGACUUGGUCGACCACUAGCUCCAAGUCGCCGCAGCAUAAAGCCGCAUCUCGCCGAGCUCGAUGGUGAUACGUAGCCUAUUGAUGAGGGCUUCGUACUCCAUGAUGUUGUUCAAGGUUGGAAAAUGGAGACGGAUCGCGUAGCGGAGCCUAUUCCCCUGUGGUGAGAUAAGGACCACUCUAGCCCUCGAGCCAGGUCCCAUGAUCGAACCGUCGAAGUACAUCAUCUAGUACUCGUGGGUGACAUCCAGGGUCAGGAUCUGGACUUCCAUCCACUCGGCGAUGAAGUCGGCCAGGUCCUAAGACUUGAUAGCUAUGCAGGGGACGUACUUGAUGUCAUGGCCCAUGAGCUCAAGCAUGCACUUGGAGAUUCGCCCCAUAGCAUCACGGUUGCAGAUGAUCUCUCCCAGCAGGUACAAGGUGAUGAUCGUGACCUCAUGGUCGGUGAAGUAGUGUCGGAGCUUCCGGGUUGCCAUCAGCAUGACGUACAGAAGGUUCUGGGCUUGGGGUAACGCAUGUUGGCGUCAUGUUGACACCAUGUUUUGACAUACGUCAAACAUGGCGUCAAAAGAAAAUAGAGAUGCCAGCGCAUAGUGGAAGGACAACGGCUAGUGGAAUCGACUGGUAAGGUUGUAGAGGGUUGAGCCGAUAGAGUAAGGCAGAAGCCUAGGCGAUGGGAUCACAGGGGCAUAGCCCAUAGAGUCAGACGAUGCGAGCAGGAGGGUUCUAGCCGAUAGGAAAUGUUGGAGGUUCGGCCGAUGAGGAGCUGGUUUUGGUCGGUAGAAGCCAAGUUCGUUUCUGACUCCUACAUGAGUCAUUUUUAUUUAGAAAGUUUGUUUCUUUAGAGAUAGGUCUUAUGAUUUGUUGUAACCGACUAGGAUUAGAAAUCUUGAUGUAUAGGGUAUAAAUAGGGGCCUUGUAAGGUUUGGAAAAGACACACACAUCAUAAUCAAUACAAAUCUACUAUUUUCGCAAUCUACUUUCAAGUCGACGACUUCGCCAUUGUUUUGUUUUCUUCACGAGUUCUUCCAAGCUGGUUGGGCUGCAUUGCUUCGAUCUCCAGCUAGACUGUAAGUUUCGCGUUUACUGAAUACCUCCUAGGCUUUAACUUUGGGUGCAUUGCUGUCAUUUCGUCUGGAUUUAUUCACAAGUUAUCGAUAUUUACUGGAUCUGCAUGUUUUAUUUGUUAAAUCUUGUUGCUUUAGUUUUUAUCACGGUUAUCCAGCUUAGAACACAUUCCAAUCAGCUUUUUCUUUAUUUCUCAUACUAAUCUACUAUCACCCAGCCGAUUAGAUCUGUUUUAAUUGGUGUUCAUGUAAUGCUAUUUAGGUUGUAUUUUACGCUUCCUUUACAUCUACUACAUCCACAUCGGCUGAUCUAGCCGAUUGUCUUUUCUCGUGUCGGCAGCUCUACGAUACGUCCUGUGGAGCGAUUUAGAAUGCCAGCUGAUUUGCUCUUGUAUUUGACAUUUUACCUGUCCUUUUCAAUCAAUAGGUCAGAUUGACUGGCACACCAUGGAUCGAUAGGGCUACAACCCAAACAGGAGCGAAGCAGAUUCUCCCCGGUUUUGUGUGUUAGUGCGCGGGAGCCGUCUCUCAAUUUUUGCGUCAACACAUCGGUGAGUACUUCACUGAUGAAGUACACCGGUCGCUGGACCUUCAGCGCAUGUCCUAGCUCCUCUCUAUCGACUACAAGGGCAGUACUAACCACGUGGUCGCUUGCCGCGAUGUAGAGGAGAAGGGGUUCUUCCUGCUCGGGAGCGAUGAGGACUAGGGCCGAAGUCAGCAAUGCUUUGAGGCUUUCCAAAGCCCAUUGUGCCUCCUCCAUCCAGACGAAUGCGUCUGCCUUCUUGAGGAGUGUGUAGAGAGGCAUCCGUCGUUCGCCUAGUUGGGAGAUGAACCGGCUCAGGACGGCCAAACAACUAGUGAGCCUCUGUAUGCCCUUGAUGCUGUGUAUGGGGCCCAUGUUGGUGAUGGUCGUGAUUUUUUUGAGGUUGGCUUCAAUGCCGCGCUCGGACAUGAUGUACUUGAGCAGCUUCCCCUUUGGAACCCCGAAAACACAUUUCUCAGGAUUAGUGGGGUUGUGGUGCUGCACUACUCCAGAACAACAACACUGCGGCACGCUUGCUCAAUCAGACGGCAAACCAGCCUGCUCUAGCAUACAACCUCCAUCACCAUCGGCUCCGCAGCCAGCCGUCCAGCGUUAUCAGCAGCAUCCACUAGAAGUCAGCAGGGAGGAUGGUGUUUUGGAUCCUCACAGGGAUGGGUCACCUAUAGUGGUGUACGAUGAGGCAACCAGUGUGUUGCGGCAUGUUGAUUCUUCCCGCCAGUUGACCUAGCCGCAAUAUCUGCAACAUACAUCGGCUAUCCAAUAGCCAAUUGUGGUGCCACAAAUUCAGCAGCAGGUGCCAGUGGGCCAGCCAAUGCUCCAACCUAUGGUCCAGCAGUAGCCGCAACAGGUUGAUUGGGCCGCAAAGAUAGCUGGGGUGAUGCAAGAUCAGUUCGGUCUAAAACCUAAAGUGCAGACCUACACGUACAGAAUGCCGUACCCACCAGCCUAUGACAUGUUGUCGUUCCCUCACCGAUUUCACCAAGUUCUCGGGACAAGAUGAGGCAUCUACGGUGGAGCACGUCAAUAGGUUCAUCAUUCAGUGUGGAGAGUCAGCUGUGCAGGAUGCUCUGAGGGUUCGGCUGUUCUCAUCAUCUCUGUCCGGGUCAGCCUUCCAGUGGUUCACGACGCUUCCACCUAACUCCAUUAUCACCUGGGACAAUCUGGAGAAAUAGUUCCACAAAAACUUUUUUGCUAGGGUUCACGAGAUGAAGCUGACAGAUCUAACUAGUCUCAGGUAGAGGAGUGAUCAAUCGGUGGCCAGUUUCAUCCAACGGUUUAGGGAAGUCAGGAACAAGUGCUACAGUUUGGUCUUGAGCGAUAGCCAACUAGCCAACACGGCUUUUUAGGGGCUUCACAGGAGUUCGAGAGUUUGAGCCAGAUUGUACACCGGUUGUCAAACCAAGACGUACACCCAUUUGAUUAGAGAAAGAAUUUCCAGAAGAAGGUGGCGUACGUGGAGUGUUUGGACUUAGAAGGAGAAGCAGAGGUCAGCUUGGCAGAGUGGGUUAAAGUCCAAAAAGCCGAUCUCUUGCCCGUACGGCAAGAAGGAGCCUGAGAAAUUCGAGUUCAAUAUUUCCAAGGCCAAUAAGAUCUUUGAUUUGUUGCUGCAAGAAGGGAAAAUCAAGCUCUCACCAUACCACACGAUCCCAUUGACUGAAGAACUUAAGAAGAUCAAGUACUGCAAGUGGCACAAUGCCACAUCUCACAACACCAACGAGUGCAAAGUCAUCUGCCAGCAGAUCCAAUUAGCUAUUGAGCAAGGGAGGCUCAAGUUUAAAGCUCCUUCAAAACCAGCAAAGCCGAUGAAGAUCGACCAACAUCCAUUCCCAACAAAUAUGGUAGAAGUCGGAGGCAAAAGCGCACCUCCCACAAAGGUGCUGACAUCAGAACCAGCCAAGAGGAGUGGAGAUGUGGACCCUAGAGUAUAGGUGUCGGCCAACGAUGUCAAGUUGAACAGUCAGUUGCAAGAAGGUUAAGCUCAACAAGGCCUCAAUGGCCGAUAUCCUCCCAAGAGUUUCUCAAUAAGUUAUAGAGAUAGCAAGACCAGGCAAGGCACCGGGAAGAGAUGACACAUCACCAUGAAAACCACUGGAGAUGCCCAUUCUUCAUAUACUGCUAGGAGGAGCGGAUCAAGAUACCAUCGAUUGACAACUACCCCGAAUGCAAUGGGUCAUACCAAGGCAGCCGAUUGUCCAAAAGACCGUGCUUUGAUGAUAGGAAUCAAAAGCCGAUCAAUAGGGAUAGACCUUACCAUGAUGACAGGUGCAUCCCAAUGCGUGAUUGACUGGGGGGGCAGGAUCAGUAUACAUGAUUGGCUGGAGGGCAGGCUAAAUGUUCCCAACAGACUAGAGGAAAGAGCCAAUGCAAGAGUCCUCGAUGAAGAGCCUUUGUGUCGCGAACCAGAGCGGCGGCGUGCAUCAUGAGACAAAGCUAUAGAAUAGCCUAGAUGGUGCCCAGCGGGUUUGACUAAGUCCCAGAAGAGACGGGUUCAAUGCAUGCGACAAUGGGAGUAUCAAGAAGAGGAACAAAGGUGUGCUUCAGAAAGGAAAGGGGUCAAAUCCUAGGUGUGGCACAUCAAAGACAAAGCCGAUGACGAAGAUAACAAUCCCAAAUCAGCUGUUGAUGUCAACAUGGUUUUCGUAUUACCGAUGGAAUUCAUGGCUCCAACCAAUCACAAGGCAACAGAAGCAGAACAGGGGAUGGCACAAUUAACCUUGGAGCUGAUGUCAGCCACCUUUGAGAAACCCAAAGAUGAAAAACGUCGGCACCUGAAAGCCCUCUUCCUCAAGGGGCAAAUCGACGGGAGGCUGAUUACCAAGCUUCUGGUGGACAGUGGUGCAGCCGUGAACAUCAUGUCGUAUGCCAUGUUCCGCAAGCUCGGCAAAGGCGAAGAAGACUUGAUCAAAACAGACAUGAUGCUGAAGGACUUCAAAGGAAACAUCUCUCCGGCCCAGGGGGCACUCUGCGUCGACCUCACCAUCGGCAGUAAGACCCUAGCUACUACUUUCUUUGUUAUUAAUGGUAAAGGGUCCUACAAUAUGCUUCUGGGUCAAGAUUGUAUUCACGCCAACUACUACAUCCCGUCUACAAUGCAUCAAUGUCUCAUCCAAUGGGUCGGCGACUCAGUUGAAGUGGUCACCGCUGAUUCUUCUUUCAGCGUCGUUGCAGCCGAUGCACAAUAGUAGAAUUGCAAAUAAGUCAGCUGCAUAUCUGGCAGAGUCUAGGAUACAGAUUUCUUGAAGAUGUCCAAUUUUGGACUACAGCGAUCCAAGUAGUCGGCUCUGAAGAAUUGUCCUGAUGGAUGAGUUCACCCAAGAAGAUGGGAAGCUGGAGCAUGAGUUUAUGUCAGUCGACGAGUUAGAGAUGGUAGAGCUUGAAGAUGGGAGCAAGCCAAAGCAGACAUAUAUUAGUGCUAAGUUAGAUCCUGAGUAUAAGCAUGAACUAAUUAAGUUGUUAAAAGAAUUCAAAGAUUGUUUUGCUUGGGAGUAUCAUGAAAUGCCUGGUUUAGAUCAAUCUAUUGUCGAACAUCAGUUGCUAAUAAAAUCAGGAUAUCGGCCGUAUCAGCAACCUGUGUGACGUUGUAAUCCGAAGAUUUUACUUGAUAUUAAGGCUAGGAUCACAAGAUUAAUUGAUGUGGGGUUUAUUCGGCAAUGUCGGUAUGCUGAGUGGAUUUUUAAUGUGGUUCCCGUAUACAAGAAGAAUGGAAAACUGCACAUUUGUAUUGAUUUCAGGAACCUCAAUCAAGCCACACCAAUGGAUGGUUGUCUGAUGCCGACAGCUGAUGUGUUGAUAGAUGCUACUUUAGGAUACAAAGUCAUUAGUUUCAUGAAUGGUAACGUUGGAUAUAACCAAGUAUUGAUGGAGAAAGAAGAUAUUUCCAAGACGGCUUUCGGGUGUCCUGGACACAACGGUUUAUUUGAAUGGGUGGUCAUGACCUUCGGAUUGAAAAAUGCUAGGGCUACAUAUCAGCGAGCCAUGAAUUACAUUUUCCAUAAACUUAUCGGCAUCCUAGUGGAAAUUUAUAUCGAUGAUGUCGUAGUCAAAUCGAAAGGGUAUCGAGAACACUUAGCCGAUUUGCGUGAAGUCCUGGAAUGCACAAGGAAAGAUGGGUUGAAAAUGAAUCCGAAUAAAUGUGCUUUUGGCGUGUCGGCUCGAAAGUUCUUGGGGUUCAUGGUUCACGAGUGAGGCAUUGAAAUUAAUCAGAGGAUCAUUGGUUCUAUUAACAAAGUUGUGGCUCCGUAAAAUAAGACUGAGUUGCAGUCAUUAAUCGAUAAAAUUAAUUUCAUCCAAAGAUUCAUAUCGAACCUGUCUGGAAGGAUUCAAUCUUUCAGCCUGUUGCUUAAACCAAAAGUCGAUCAAGAGUUCGUUUGGGGGUAGAGCAGCAAAAUGCAUUGGAUGAUAUCAAACAAUACCUGGUGUCACCUCCUAUAUUGGUUCCUCCACAAGCUAACAAGUCGUUCAGGUUAUACCUCUCAGCCUAUGAGUGUGCCAUUGGGUCGGCUCUUGUCCAAGAACUUGAAGGGAAGGAACGAGUAAUUUAUUAUGUGAGCAGAAGACUCUUGGAUGCAGAGACCAGGUAUUCCCCAGUUGAGAGGUUGUGUCUAUGCCUAUAUUUCUCCUGCACUAAGCUUAGACACUAUUUAUUAUCCGCCGAGUGCGUUGUGGUAUGCAAGGAUGAUGUGGUCAAAUACAUGUUGCCAUUGCCAAUUCUAAAUGGAAGGAUUGGGAAGUGGAUUUUGACUCUGUCGGAGUUUGACCUAAAGUACGAAUCAACUAAAGCUGUCAAAAAGGGCAAGUCAUGGCCGAUUUUGUUACUCAUCAUUGUAGGCCAGAGGUUGCUAUUGUUGAGGUAGCCCAAUGGACUUUAUUCUUUGAUGGAUCUUCAUGUGGGAUUGGAUCAGGAAUCGGCAUAAUCCUUAUAUCACCUUGGGAGGCGAACUACAAGUUCUCACUGCCAGUUGAGGCUUCUGCUACCAACAACCAGGCCGAGUAUCGAGCCAUUUUGAAGGGGAUCCAAUUGCUGAGAGAAAUCAAAGCUGAUGCUGUUGAGAUUUUUGGGGAUUCUAUGCUUAUCAUCAACCAGCUGACUGGAGGAUGUGAAUGCAGAGAUGAUAUUUUAAGAAUUUACUAUGAACAGUGCCUUCAGUUACUCAAAGAAUUCAAGAGUGUGGUUAUUGAGCAUAUUCCCAGAGAUUACGAUGAGGAUGCUAACAAGCUCGCCGCAUGCUUCUGGUUAUCGACCGAUCUGUGGUGUUAUGGCCUUAGAGUUAAUGGCCGAUGAUUGGAGGAAAGAAAUAGUAGAUUACUUAAAAGAUCCCUCCAAGAAAGUCGAUAGGCGAGUUCGAUUUCAGGCUUUGCAAUAUGUGUUGCUUGAAGAUGACCUUUAUUAUCUGAUGAUUGAUGGGGUCUUGCUUAAAUACCUCAGGGUUGAAGAAGCCAAGAAACUGAUGGGCGAAAUUCAUGAAGGGGUUUGCGGAGCUCAUCAAUCGGCUUUCAAGAUGAAGUGGAUGAUUAGAAACAAGGGGUAUUAUUGGCCGACUAUACUUGAAGACUGCUUUAAAUACUAUAAAAGUUGUCAAGAUUGUCAGAAGUUUGGCAAUGUGCAAAGAGCCCCGGCAUCGGCUAUGAAUCCUAUAAUAGAGUUGUGGCCAUUUAGGGGGUAUCGAUUUGAUCGGCCAGAUUUAUCCACCUUCAAGCAAGGGUCAUAAGUUCAUACUAGUAGCAACGAAUUAUUUCACUAAGUGGGUUGAAGCAAUUCCCUUGAAAAAUGCAACAUCGGCAAGCAUGGUUGAUUUUGUCAAAGAACACAUCAUCUAUCAAUUUGGUAUCCCUCAAACUAUCACUACCGAUCAAGGGACAAUGUUCACUUCGAGAGAGUUUGAGGAAUUCGCUACUAGUAUGGGAAUUAGGUUGUUGAAUUCUUCUUUGUAUUAUGCCCAGGAAAAUGGUCAAGCUGAAUCAUCCAACAAGGGGAUCAUUAAAUUAAUUAAGAGGAAGAUCGAAGAGCAGCCAAGGCGCUGGCACACUACGUUGAGCGAAUCCUUAUGGGCGUAUCAAAUGGCUUGUCACGGAGCCACAAAAGUAUCCCCUUAUCAAUUGGUUUAUGAACAUGAAGCAGUUCUACCUUGGGAGUUAAAGACUGGGUCUAGGCGUGCAUCGUUGCAAGACCAGUUAACAGCCGAAGAAUACUCUACUUUGAUGAAAGGGGAUUUGGAAGACCUAGCGGGUCAUCGACUAAGGUCUUUGAUCAGCAUCGAAGAAAAUAAGAAGAGGGUGGCUAGAUGGUAUGACAAAAAGGUCAAGGUCAAGGAGUAUUCCCAAGGAGAUUUAGUCUGGAAGCCGAUAUUGCCGAUUGUGUCUAAAGAUCCCAAAUUUGGGAAAUGGUCGCCUACAUGGGAGGGACCGUAUCGGAUAAACCGGUGUGCUCCUGGUAAUGAGUAUAUUUUGGAGACACUUGAAGGAGAGGAGUUCACAAGGGCUCUAAAUGGAAAAUACUUUAAGAAGUACUACCCGAGUAUAUGGGUAGAUGCAUAGCCGAUGGUGUGAUGCCUCGGACUAACAUAGACGAUAUUGAGGGUAUCGCCUUUAGUCUAAAAAGAAAAGAAGGAAAAAGGCAGACACAUGGAUAGCCGAUAAAAUCAGCUGUGAUAUGGCCGAUGUGAUACAAGUCACCCUUAGAACAAAUAAUACUUGCAACACUUCGGACACAACAGGUUAUUACAUCAAAGUCAUCAUUAUAUCAUGGCCAAGACAUUCCAUUACAGGCAAAUCUGGAUGGCUCCCUAUUGAUAUCGGCAAAUACUUACUCCCUUUGGCGAGAUGUGCCUAGGAGACGCCCCAGUUGAGCCUUAGUAGUGCCGAUUUCCCUGUUGACCUGGCCCAAUUCCAGUAGAAGUUGAAUUUUCCUAGCCUCCAAACUGGCCAACUUGUCUUCGAGCAAUACACGGGGGGGGGGGGGGGGGGGGGGGGGAGAGAGGUUGAUGGCUUCGAAGGAUUGGCUGCUGCAUUUGCUGGUUUGAGCCUGCAGCUUUGAUUGAGGACAAGAUCGAUUUGAUGUCCAUAGGUAGAUGGUCUCUGAUUUGAUCACGAUGAGCUUGGAUCAAAGCUUUGUCCACCUAGGUGAGCGGCUCAUUGGAAUGAAGGAUCUGGAUGACCUAUUCAAGCUGUUCGUCCACUUGAUUUGGCUGGGAAAGAGAACAAAGAGUCAAGGUUUGGUUCAUGAUAACCAAUUCGGAAUAGAGAAAACAUAGCAAUACCUGGUUGACUGAAGAAGAGGAAGCCAUCUUGGUCGCGUGAAUUCAAUCUAGUUCGAAAACUCGCAGUGUGUGCGGUCUUGAAGGUGACCUCAAGGAAGGAGUAGGGGUCUGUAUUUAUAAGACGAAUAGACGUGUGAAAUGUGAACAAUGGUCGGUCAAAAGGGGCUUUAAAUGGGACUAGCCAUUGGCGAGUCAGAAAGAGCUGUGGAGAAACGGUCAAAUUACAUUCAAGAUGGAUAUUGAGCAUUGACAUCACGAGAGGAAUGUACCAAGUACCAGAAUACAUAAAAGCUAAUAACGUUCGUUACAAUUAUGCUAGAAGAGUUUGAAUGGCAUUUAUCGCACGCAGGCGAAUCUGAUUGGCAGCCUUUAUCUCCCUACGGUCGUCAUCGGCUGAGCCGGGUAUGUCAGUUAUGCUCCGAUGUAGCUGAAUAGCUUGAUGCGCAUGUGCUUGCUUUUCCUGCUCUAAUUGCUUGAGGACUUCUAGAAGUUGGGCGAGCUUGGUUUCUUCGACGAUGAUGGCAUCGCCGAUGCUUUUCAAUUCCUUCAUCAGUUUUUACCUCCUUGCUUUGAGCCAAUCAAUUUCACCAACAAUAUUGGGGCGAGAAUCCCUAAGAAAGCCGAUCUUGGGAUGGAUUUCAUCGGCCUAAAGCUUAUGGAAUUCCUUGUCCUUAUGCAAUUGUUCCUGUUUGGCGCGAUCGGCUGUGCGGCGUAGAGCCCUUAACAUCGGGACUUGGUGACUCCCUAUGUAGGCUGCGGGGAGGAUGGCUUCUUCUUUGUCUUCUAGGAUCUGGCCUUUGAGGUUGCGGAGGAUGUCGUGCAUCGGUUGUGCAUCUUUGACUAGUUGGCUGAUGCCUUGCUGAAGGAAGUCGAGUAUAUCUUGAAGUUUGGCCUUUAGGACAUCAGGAAUAGAUUCUGGAACCAGUGGGUGUGACAAAACUUCUUCUUCUUCGUGGAUUUCCCCUACCUGAAAUGAGAAGAGGCUGCUGUCUGGAGUGUCCUGAGCCUGCAAGGAUCAAUAAGGUAUAAGCUGAUGAAGCUAGUUGAUUGGAAUCAAUUAAUGUGCAAAAGAGUGUUCACCAUCUUCCAUUGGGUUUCUCUGGUUUGUGUUGGUGAUUCCACUAGGGACUCUUGUUGAACUGGUUCUGCGGAGGGUGGCAUGUUCUUGGAAGGUACAUUGACUGCUAGUGUUUCAAGAAUAGCGGCCGACACUUCUGGGAUAGUCUGUAUAGAAAACCGAACGAUUCUUAGCAACGGAGGUUGAGAAGGGUUGGAAUAGAGUAUGCAUUUUACCUCAAGUGUUGGAGUGAUGGCCGAUGCAGUCUCCUGUGUAUCUUUAGCCUGUGGAUCAGCCGAUGAAGGAGGCGGAGGCAUAGCCGAUUCUAGGAUGGGCUCUUCUGGUGCCGAUUGUGCGGAAGGCUAAAAGAAACAAGAGUCAGUACUAGCAAAGUAUCUAGAAAAAAUUAAAUAAGUGAGAUUACCUGCAUAGCCUCUAUCAAAAGUGAUGUAGCUACUGACGCUACUUCCGCUAGAACAGCCGUUUGGGGUGCCACCGCUGCCGUCGGAUCAGUCUCCUGGGCUGACGCUGCUGUCGGCAGGACGGAUGCCUAUGCUGAUUUGGAGCCUUUUUGAGGGUGCUUCUUACGGGUAGCCUUCUCAAGAAUAGAGACUUUGCGCUUUUGGCCUACGGCUAUGUCCAUUAAAGAUGGCGCAUCGUAGCCAAUGAGGGGGUCAGCCAAUGGAGGGACGUAAGCAAUUGGCUUGUUGCUCUAGCUAACUCUUGAAGGUGUAAAGUGAACACCCUGUAAAGGGCAAAAGUGUUAGUGGGAAGAAAAUAUCUGUAAUGAAAGGAGAUUCAGCGGAAUCAAUGGUGAUUACCCCUCCAUCAGGAUCAUUGAAGUCUAGGUCGAACUUCCUACAAUAAAUUCUUGUUGCCACAUAGAAAAGAUGAUUCUUCC